UUCCACUAAGCUUUUCAAACAACAACAAAAAAAAAAAACUUAAUUUGUACAUUAAAACAAAGCUGGUUAACAGCUCCAUCAACAUCAAAUUACAUCAAUCAAGAAGUUCUUAAUAAACUAGACUUCAAAAUGAACAAAAUUCAGUUGGUAUUUAACAGCAUUAAGGCUUCUAGUUGCUGCCAAUUUGGUUUGUGCAUUUGAGACUUGCAUGGCCACCUUUGUUGCUUGAGUCAUGAACUAGCUGCAUGGAGGUCAGCUUCAACACUCCUCUUUGAGCUCCAUGCUACUCACGCCCAAUAGCUUCCUUAACUUGUUGAACCUUGAUAUACCUAGACCCUUGGUCAAAAUGUCAGCUAUUUGAUCCUCCGAAUUGCAAUGAACCAACUUUAUUUCACAAGCUUGCUCUAUCUCCUUUAUCACAUGCAACUUUAUGUCAAAGUGUUUAGUUUUAUCAUGGAAGACAAGGUUCUUUGCAAUUGCAACAGCAGACUUGUUGUCACAAAAUAUCUCUGUUGCUUCUUCUUGAAAUAGGUUCAAAUCAGCUAAGACUUGUAUUAGCCAAAUGGCUUGAUUUACUGCACUAGCAUCAGCUACAUACUCGGCCUUAGCUGUCGAUUGAGCCACUAAAGACUGCUUUUUGGAACUCCAACAGACCAUUGCUGAGCCCAGUGUGAAAGCAUACCCAGAUGUGCUUUUCAUAUCGUCUUUAAAACCAGCCCAAUCACUAUCUGUGUAGCUUGUCAACUUUAGUUUUUCAGCCUUGCUAAAUAACAGACCAUGAUUUAGAGUACCUUUAAUGUAGCUUAGUACUCUUUUUGCAGCUUGAAAAUGUAGCACAUUGUAGCAGUGCAUGAAUCUAGAAAGUAACUUACUGCAAACAUGAUGUCUGGCCUCGUUGUAGUCAAGUAUAGGAGACAACCAAUCAAGCUUCUAUAGGUGGUUUCACAAACUUCUUCAUGACCCUCAUGGCUCGAUAAUUUCAUCCCAACUACAACAGGUGUGGGAGUUGGCUUACAAUUUAGCAUCGAAAACUUUGUCAAAACUUUUAAGGCAAAUGAUUUCUGUUUCAAGAAGAUUCCUCCUUGUUCCUGGAUUACUUCCAUUCCUAGGAAGUAUGUCAUUAGCCCCAGGUCAGUCAUCUCGAACAUUUUCCUUAUCUUUGUCUUGAAAUCUGUUAAAACAGCUUCAUCAUCUCUUGUAACUAGUAAAUCAUCGACAAACAAAGACACCACAAGCUGAGUUUUAGUAUUAUUUUUCUUGAUAUACAAUGUUGGUUCACUGACACUUCUUUGGAAAUUCAAACUGAGCAAGUAAGUGUCAAUUCGAGCAUACCAAGCUCUAGGAGCUUGCUUUAGGCCAUACAAGGCCUUUCUUAGUUUGCACACCAUGUCUUCCUUGCCAAGUACCUCAAACCCCUGUGGUUGCUCGACAUAAAUUUCCUCCUCAAGAAUUCCAUUUAGAAAGGCUGAUUUUAAAUCUAGUUGAUAGACAUUCCACUGCAUUUGAGCUGCAAAAGCAACAAUUAGCCUUAUUGUGUCUAAUCUAACAACCGGUGCAUAUGUUUCAAAGUAAUCCAGACCAUAUUUUUGACUGAAACCUUUCACCACAAGUCUAGCCUUCAAUUUAUUCAAACUUCCAUCAGUAUUCUGCUUGGCCUUGUAGACCCAUUUUACUCCAAUAACCUUUCUGUUAGUAGGUCUGUCAACUAGCUUCCAAGUCUGGUUCUUUUCGAUCAUGACAAUCUCAUCUGUCAUUGCCUGCCUCCAACCCUCAUCAGCUUUAGCCUCUUCAAAACUGAUUGGUUCAACUUGAGCCAUGUGAGCUCUUCAUAAAUCUCAGCAAGAGUUCUUGUUCCUCUGGUAGGUUCAUCAUCCAGGUCCAUAUCAGGACCAUUUUCAACACCUUCAGUCUGAUCCACUAUCAGAUUCCCAGAAGUAGCCUCAAGUUCACCCUUAUCCCAGUUCCAACAAGCAUGUUCAUCAAAGAUUACAUCUCUACUCAUUUGAAUUUUGUUUGUCAAAGGAUCUAAGAUCCUAUAACCUUUCUUAACUGCACUAUAACCCAUCAGAAUCCCAGGUUGAGCCCUUUCUGACAGUUUUUCUAUUUUCACAGCUGGUAUGUGAGCAUAGCAUAGGCAGCCAAACACCCUUAGGUGCUCUACAGAAGGUUUGAAUCCGGAACAGGCUUCAAAUAGAGUCUUUUGUUCUAAGGCUUUGGUUGGAAGCCUGUUUUACAAGUAGACUGCAGUGUUAUCUGCUUCAGCCCAUAAAUUUUUAGGCAAUUUCUUCUCAAACAAGAGACAUCUAGCCAUAUCCAAUAGGCUUCUAUUUUUUCUUUCACUGACCCCAUUCUGCUGAGGUGUAUAGACAUUAGUUAACUGAUGUUUAACACCAGCUUUAUUGCAUAAUGCUUGGAACUGAGCUGAGGUGUACUCUGUUCCAUUAUCUGUCCUGAUUGUCUUUAAUUUGCAGCCAGUUUCUGUUUCAGCUGCAGCCUUGAACUUUAUAAAUACUUGAGCUACCUCUGACUUGUGUUUCAAAAAGAAAAUCCAACAGAAUCUGGUAUAAUUAUCAAUAAAGAGAAUGAAAUACUUACUUCCAUUCAAAGAUUCUAUCUUCAUAGGGCCACAGACAUCUGAGUGCACCAAUUCCAGCUUGGUUGAAGCUCUCCAGGAUGUGUUUGCAGGAAAUGGAAGCCUGGCUUGCUUUCCAAUUUGACAAACCUCACAGAUAUCUUCACUUUGAACUAACUUGGUGAAGUUUUCAACCAUUUCCUUGCUAGCCAUUUGAGCCAUCGAUCUGAAAUUGGCAUGACCAAGUCUUUGAUGCCAAAGCUUGGUGUCUUCUGUUGAAGCAACAUAGGCUGAGUCACCUGACCAGUUGACUUCAAAGCAUUUGUCACUCAUAGUGACUGUCAUGAGGCUUGAUCCAUUUGGAUCAGUGAUUUUGCACUCCUGGCCCUUGAACACAACAGAAUAGCCCUUAUCCAGCAGCUGAGAAAUGCUGAGUAGGUUUCUAUCAAUCUCAGGUACCAACAGCACAUUUGUAAUGACUUUAUCUCCAGUGGAGGUACAUAUGAGGACAUCUCCUUUCCCUUCAGCCUUGAUGAACUGACCAUUGCCUAUUUUCACUUUGGUUUUGCAGCUUCUGUCCAGGGUUCUGAAAAUAGUUGCAUCUGGUGACAUGUGGUUAGUGCAGCCACUAUCAAGAAGCCAACCUUUGGUGACCUUGUCUUUUGUAGCUAAGCAUGAAACUGCAAAGACAUGUUCUUCACUGUCACUGCUUUGUUCAGCUACUCUAGCCUCUUCAUUCUUGAGUUGUGGUUGGUUUUGGCUAGGUCUGCCUUUUUCUUUGCAGACCUUCUCAAUAUGGCCUUUCUUCUUGCAAUUUUGACAUGUAGCAUCUGGUCUAAACCAGCAUCUGGCCUCUGGAAGACCGGGCCUUUUGCAGUACCUACAAGGUCUAUCCCAUUUUCUCGAGACAUCAGUUUUGGAUUUAUCUCUCCAAUUUUUCUUGCCUUUGUAGGUAGCAUUACUCGAGCUAGGCUUGACUUUGGCCUGAAAUGCUCCCUCCUGGUGCUCCUCGAUCCUGCUGGCUCUUCUUUGCUCCUGAGCAUAAAGAGCAUUGAUAAGCUUAGUCAGGGAGAUCCUUGCCAAGUCUCUCGAGUCCUCUAAGGAGGAUAUCUUUGCUUCAUAUCUCUCUGGUAGAGUAGGGAGAACCUUCUCAACAAUCCUUAUUUCAUCAAAUUGCUCACCAAGGAGCCUUAUGCUGUUUACAACAGCCAUUAUCCUGUCAGAAUAUUGCUUAAUAGUUUCCUCUUCUUUCAUUUUCAGAUUCUCGAAAUCCCUCCUCAAGUUCAGAAGCUGCUGCUGCCUUGUUCUCUCAGUGCCUUGGAACUCCUCCUUAAGCUUGUCCCAAGCCUGUUUUGGGGUGUCACAAGUCAUAAUCCUAGUGAAGAUCACAUCAGAAAUGCAAUUCUGAAUACAGGACAUAGCCUUGUGCCUCUUAGUCCUCUCAUCUACAUGCUGACGAAUCUGAACCACAGUGGGGUUGGCCCUCAGUGAAGCUGGUUCAGUGUCUGUGUUGACAACUUUCCACAAGUCGAAUGCUUGGAGGUAGGUCCUCAUCUUGACCACCCAGAUGUGAAAACCUUCACCAGUGAAGACUGGUGGUGCUGCUGGACAGAAGCUAGCAGAAGCCAUUCAAGUUUUUGAAUCAAGCAAAACAGGUACUCAAAGAUAAGAGCUCUAGAUACCAAUUGUUGGUGUUAUCGAGCAAGCAAGCAGCUGGUACAGCUUUGGCUUUUGCAACAAGUCACGAUACUUGCUGAACAAACAAGAAGGAAUCGAGCAAGAGAAAAGAAGAAAAGAAAAACAAUGGAAAAUAGUUGAGAGUAUUGAUGGAAAAUGAAGUGUAUUUCAUUCAUACUUUAUCAUUGGCAUAUUGCCAUUACAUAUAUCAAAUAAAGAUAAAACUUACAAGUCAGAUUUCUACCUAAACAUGUACCUACUUCCACUAAGCUUUUCAAACAACAACAAAAAAAAACUUAACUUGUACAUUAAAACAAAGCUGGUUAGCAGCUCCAUCAACAUCAAAUUACAUCAAUCAAGAAGUUCUUAAUAAAUAGACUUCAAAAUGAACAAAAUUCAGUUGGUAUUUAACAGCAUUAAGGCUUCUAGUUGCUGCCAAUUUGGUUUGUGCACUUGAGACUUGCAUGGCCACCUUUGUUGCUUGAGUCAUGAACUAGCUGCAUGGAGGUCAGCUUCAACAGAUACCCUCCAAAUAAGAAAGCAACCACAAACAUCCACACCAAUUUCCAGUACUCCCUCUCUUAAAUCAAUGCUCACUAACUCUCAAAUAUUGGCAUGCAGCAGCACUACACCUUUGGGGUUUAUAUAAUCGUAAAUCUACAUAAGUAUGUUUCCUGGAAAUUCAUUGGAUAGGUCCACUUAUGGAUUAAUUAUCUUUUCCCUCUUUUUAUUGAUAAUUAAUUAUUUGGAUAAUAAAACCAGAGCAUUUGGAUGCAGGUAACUGAGCUCAGAUUUCAACCAUUGCUACGUUAAUUUCACGCUUUUAAGUCUUUAAAUCAAUGGACUUUCAAUGAUUAAGCUUUUGUUUAUUCUUUACCAGUUUGCUUUAAAAUAUAAGAUUAAGUUGGCUAAUGUAAGACCCAAUUUGUGCCCGGGCCUACACUAAAACUAAAACCAAAAAUAAAAAUAAUAAAAACAAAAUAAAAUCCAAUAAUCAACAAUUCAAUGUCCAUAACCCAAUAAAUCCAUAUCCUAGCCCAAACCCAAAAGAACCCAAAAGAAGGAGAAUUUCAGCAGCAGCUCCUGGAAUAUACUGAAAGAAUACCAGAGAGAUGGUUUUCCACGCGAGAUCCCCGGAUCAUCUUCUCCGUACAACUGAGACUGCAAAAGAAGACACUAGAAGGAGUCAAUAACAGAUUUCACAGCAAAUGACAGUAGGAAAAUAGGAUUUUUUAGAUUUUAUUUAUUUUGGAAAUAUGGCUAUAAAAGCCAGUGAUGUAAUCCAUAAUUUUUUACGCACACAAAAUAGAUGCUUACGCAAGCACACUAUAGGCAGAGAGAAUACAAAAAUUUUAGAAAAGAAUUUCUGAAAGGUGAUUUUUCGGGUUUUUAUUAAUUUGUUCCCUUAUUUUUUUCCCCUGCAAUUACUUUCAUCAUUCUGCAUUUUAGAACAAAAAGAAGUCAAGUUUUACCUUGUGGAUCGGUUUUAGACCUCUAUUUCACUUCGUUGAGAUCGAAGUUGGAAGGGGAAUCUAAAAGUAUUAGACCUCAUGCCUCAAAAUGACACCAAUGAAAUCCCUAAUAUUUCUGAAAUAUUGAAAUAAGGGUGAGGGUCAGAUGUUGUUAAAUAUGUAGAUUCUCAACUUCGGUUUGAUUUUUCUUGAGCAAACAAUAUCAGAUCUAGGAAAUUUUUUUUCUUAAAAAAAGGAAAAAUAAAUUGACUUACCAGAUUCCCUCGAGUGGAGCCUUCGAUGGUGAGGUCUGGUUGUGGUUCAUGCGUCAAUAGCCACCAAAUAAAAUGGUGGUUCCAGGACUGUGAAUAUGAACCCUAAUAUUUUGAUUUUGGGGGCUGUACAUUUGAGUGGGAUGAGUGGUUGCCUUUGGAGAAGAGAAUGGGAAAAGAAAGGCUUAAAUAGCCUAUUAAACAAAACGUUACCGUGUAAGAAGGGUGAGGGGAGCCUUUUGUGCCUAAAAUGGUAUAUUUGUGCAAAAAAUCCUUCCCUUUUUGCGAGCUCUUAAUUUGCGCCCGAUUCGCCUUCUUUAUGUUUUAAAAUUGGCAUGCUAGUUUGUGCGUUGUUUCAAUUGGAUCCGCGAUUCAUUACUGCAUUUUGAGCGCGGGAUAUUUUCAAUACCAGCCCCCACAUGUUUGUGCGCAUGACAUAUUGAUCCAAUUUUUAUUUUAUUUUGUUUGUAAAUUGUUUCUCCUGUUUCAAUUUUUACAUGCUUAAUCAUUGGUUGUGAUUUUUGUAUUAUUUUGAUAGCCGAAUUUUGUAAUCUUUUCUGUUUUUAUUCUAUUAUUUUAAUAAUUGGUGUAGUAUUUGUAAUAUAAUUCAUUUUAGUUUGUGUAUGCUAUUAGUUUCAUGAUAUUUUGUAAUUUUUCUUGGAUUCAUCCACAUAUUUACAUGUUUAUUAAGUAUAUUUGGUAUUUAUGUUUAAUCUACAUAUAUUAAAGCCUUGUUGUUCUUAUUAUAUAUAUAGCCUUCUAAUAAAUUUGUAUUUAAUUGUUUUUUUAGUUUUAGUAAACGUAUAAUAUAUAAUAAAAUUAAGUUGAUUUUAAAAUUCAAAAUUUUUUUUUAUUUAUUUUUAUUACUUCAACAUUCAACUAUUUCUAAAAUUUCUUUGUAUGUAUAUCUCACGGUAAAAUUAAGUUAAUUUUAUAAUCCAAAUUUUAAUUCCAUGUUAUUUAAAUAUAUAAUUAUUUCUAAAAUGUCUUCACAUGUAUAACACAUAUUAAAUUAUUUUUACUAUGAUACAUAUUAUUAUUCUCAUAUAUCUUCAUAUAAAUUUUUUUUUUCAUAUGUAGAACCUAUUUUAAAAAUAUUUAUAUAUACAAUAUAUUUCUUUUGGGAACCAUGUUUUAAUCAUACCAUUUAUUUAUUGUAUACACUCCCAUAUUAUCCUUAUGCAUUAUUAUAUAUAUAUUGUUACCUAUAUACUUAUAUAUUUACUUUGUUUCUUUCAUACAUUAUUAAUUUCAACUUUUUUUUUACAAAUAAUUAUAUCUAAUUUUUACUUGUAUAUACAUGUUUCAUAAAUUUCUUUUGUACAUAAUUUUAUAUCAUGUAUUAUCAUUCCUUCAUAUUUAAUACAUUAUUUAAAUUAUUAUGAGAAUUAUCAAUUUUUGAAUAAAUUUGUGUUUUAAAUAUUUUGUGCAUGAUUUGAUUUAAACUUUGAAAUUUAUAAUAACUAUUUCAAUAAACAUAUAUCCCAAGUUUUAUGCAAAUGUGUCAACUUAGAUAUAUAUUAUGUGACCGUUAAUUCUUCGUUUUGUUUCAUACAUAUUUUUGUACAUCAUUUUAUUUUGUGUUAUGACUAUGUAUAUUAUUUUUUAUUAUUCAUUACCGUGUUUAAAGAAUUUUUUUUUAUACGUGAGACAUAUUAAGCAAGGUUUAUUAUAUUUUGAGUAUAUUAUUUCAUAUUUAUUAUUUUUUAUAAUGCAUUAAAUAUUUCAUCAAUUUUAAAAUGAAUAAAUAUGUUUUUUAAAGCAAAUUUUGAAAUUUCAAUUAUUUAAAGUUUUUGAAAUAAGGCAAUAUCUAAUAUUUGGGGAAUUCGGAAAAAUUGUGCUCAAUCGUACUGGGUAUGACUUUUUCCGAUGAUCCAAAUAUUUAGAUAACCUUCUAUCCUUUUAAUGUAUAAGUUUUUAAAAAAAAACUCGAAAAUUGAUCGCAUCUUAAAGGUAUAAGGGAUCGUAUCCAACCGUACUGGGUACGAAACCGCAUAUCUUCGGAACGAGAAAUUUUUGAUAGAUAAUUUGAGCUAUUCCAAACGUUUUUAUAUACUUCAGAAAAUAUUUUUUUUAAAAAAUUUUGAUAGAAGGAUAGCAUCGAAUCAAUUUGGUACCAGUUUUUGGGCGUAGUGAGGGUGCUAACCCUUCCUCAUGCGUAACCGACUCUCAAACCUGUUUUUGAAUUUAUGUAUAUCAAAAUUGAUUUAAAAUGUCUUAUUAGGUGAUCCAAUCACACCUAAAUAAAAAGAUUGGUGGCGACUCCACACUCGGUUUUUAAAGUCGAUUCCCAUUACUUUUAAAAUGAAAAAAGGGUUUCGACAGCUAAGACUUGAGUUCUUAAAUAUUUAGAUUUUCAACCUUAUAUAUAAAUUGUCUUAUAUAUUUGAACUUAUGUUAUUGAAAUUGUUGUCCAUAAAUUGUUUUAUAUAUUUGAACCGAUGUUAUUGGAAUUGUUAUACAUAAAUUGUCUUAUAUAUUUGAACAGAUGUUAUUAGAAUUGUUCUAUAAAAAUUCUUAUUAUUUGAGAAAUUUAUAUUAAAUGACUACGUAUAAUUUUAUACAUCUAAGAGUAAUAAAAUUGGGAGAUUUUAUCGGUACUAAUUUUUUUUCAAAAUUACUAAAAAAAUUUUAAGUUUAAGUGAGACAAUCCAAGCAAAGAAGCCAGUGAAUUGGAACAGUUAAAAGUGUGUUUUCUUUUGUAUAGAACAGAAACCAUGAGCCACUUCAUUGAAACUAGCCAAAUAAGAAAGAUACAUAAAAAGCUUUUAUGGAGAGCGUGACAAACCACUAAAUCAAAUACGACAUUGACAAAGAAAGCGUGAAGGAGUGAGCAUGACUUGGCUAAGUGGUUCCUUAACGGAAUCGUUUAGGCAGAAUAUGGUCGACCACAAAAUAAUAGCAGGACAUGGUGGUUGCUUCUACAUGAUAGAACCAUGCUCGUCUCCAGUAAGGAUUAAUGUACAACACAAUGGCAAUACACAGUGACAUCACAAUGUACGACCUAACAAAACUUGCGUAAAAGACUUUCAUGUCAAUGAAACCUUCGUUAGUUGCAUUUUUCGGCAUCGAUGAAGAUGAUCCAUCAGUUGAGCAAUUCUUUGGCAAUGGUUCACCACAAAGGAAAGGAUUCCCCUCGUAACUGCUUUCUUCAAAUGUUGCAAAUUGUCCGGUCCUUUCAGGUGUAGUUCCAGAUAAAUUAUUGUAUGCCACACUGAAAGAGGACAAAAAAUGUAACCCCAGAAGUUGGGAAGGGAUAUUCCCGCUCAAGUAGUUGUAAGAAAGAUCUCAAUUUGGUAUAAUUCAGAAAGUGCUGGAGGGAUUGGUCCUAUCAAACUGUUGUGAGAAAAAUUCAAAACGAUGAUGUCUCGAAGGUAUUGGAAAUGGUGGGGAAUCUCACCAGUCAACUUGUUGCAAGAGAGAUCAAUUCCAGACAGGUAAGUGAGGACUCUUCCCUUAUAAAAGUAGGAUAUGCUUUUCAUGGUGACCUCUAUCGGCACAUCAGCAGAGAAAGAUCUGUAGUUACCGUAUUGAUAAGGUAUGCCAUAAUAAGCAUGGGAGCUAUCAUUUAAUGUUGUAAUCAUCAAGCAAGGAGGAAUUGUACCAGAAAGAUUGUUGUUAGAAACAUCAAUCAAACUUAACCCAUUUAACUUGCAUAACUGAAUCGGAAUCCCACCUUCAAAGCGGUUGUUAUUUAGGAGAAGAUAACUCAACGAAAAAAGGGUGCCAAUCCAAUUUGGAAUACUUCCAGUUAAGUGGUUGUUGCUAAGAUCCAAUGUCACCAAACCGCUGCUGUUAAAAAAUCCGGUGAUGGGCCCUUUUAGCUUGUUUCUUGAUAAAUAAACAUGAGAGAGGAUUGAAGAGCUGAAGCAAGAUGGCAAACUUCCCGAUAUAUUGUUGGCCGAUAGGUCCAAAAAUUGAAGACUACGGUUGAGUUUGCAAAAUUCCAUGGGGAUUGGACCUUCAAAGUGAUUAUUUGCCAUCACAAGUUCUUCCAAAUCUGACAUCUUUCCCAUCCACCUUGGUAUCCCACCGGAAAGUAUGUUAUUGCUCAAAUCCAAUGUUACCAAAUGUGACAUAUUCUCCAUGGAGCUUUGUAUAUCACCAAAGAGUCGGUUAUUGCUAACAUCGAAUAUUAACAACCCCAUAGGCAUGUGCCUCGGUAUUCCACCACUCAAUUUAUUGUUGGACAAGUCCAAUACUUCAAGGGAAAUCAUAUCACCAAUCGAAAUCGGAAUACCACCGCUAAAAAGAUUAUUCGACAUGUUGAGUUGCUUCAAUGAUGGUAGUUUUGCUCCGAUUUCAUUGGGGAUGUUGCCAUCGAGGGAAUUAUUGGAAACAUCCAAAUAUAAUAAACCCCUACGAGAAGUCGAUGGUAGCUGAAAAUGUCCCGAUAGAGAGCUAUUGGCGAGAUUUAGUUUCUGUAAUUUCUCGUUGUUUUCCAACAACCAGUUUGGAAACUGAUCUCCCUUGAAAUUGAUGUUAGAGAGAUCAACAUAUUGCAAGUCAUGUUGAUGAUUGAGAGAUUGAGGAAAUGAUCCACCAUCUCCGGAACAAGAUAAAGUGAUAGAUCUAAAUCGGAAUGUUGGGGUGUCUAAAGAAUGCUUCUCUGUUUCAGCAUUAUAUAUCAUGUUGUUGUCUGCAUAUAUAUUUUGGAGUUUCGAAAGGUUGAACAACGGAGCCAAUGAACUUGGGAUCUCAAUGCUAUUGUUCCAAAGCCGUAACUCUAGAAGGGAUGUCAGACUUCUAAAAUGAGAGAUAUCUCCAGAAAAUUUAUUGGAAGAGAGAUCUAAAAACUCGAGUGACAUUAGAUUCUUAAACACAUAUAUAUUUCCAAAAAAAUUAUUGAAAAAGAGAUCUAAAUACUUGAGUGAGGAUAGAUUUUUGAACACAGAUAAAUCUCUAGAAAAAUUAUUGUAAGAGAGAUCUAAAUGCUCGAGUGACGAUAGAUUCUUGAGCAUAGAUAUAUCUCCAGAAAAAUUAUUGAAAGAGAGAUCUAAAUGCUUAAGUGAUAUGAGUUCAGAGAAGCACUCAGGCAAUCUAGCAUUCCAUUUACCGUUGAUAAUGGCCAGCGUUUGUAGCUGCCUCAAUUCACAAAAACCUGCAAACAAGCAUAUGAAAUACUUUCAACACUAUUCUAACAUUAGAAAAGGUAAAACUAUCAUAUAUAUUAGUUGUUAAUACUAUAUUCUAAAUUAUAUUUUGAUAUUUUUAUUAAAAAUAAAUAAAUUAAUUUCCGUUCAUUAAAUAAUUCCUCGUCACAUUAAAUACUUAUUAUGGUGUUAAAUGUAAACAUGUCAUUAGAUAAAUAAAUUGAGACAGUUGUCUAAACUCCAAUGUCAAAGAUUGAAACAAAACAUUGCUAAUGGGUGAUGGUGAUUUUCAAUUUUUUUUUAUUAAAUACAUAUUUUAUAUUCGCAAUAAAUCCGGAAUACCUUAUUAUUAAAUAAAAAAUCUAAAAGUUUUCAUACAUAUUAAAUUUAGGGAUAAAUCUCAAAACUAUGCAUGAAUUAUUAUUUAAUGUGUAAUUUUAUACGUAAAAUUUGAUUUGAUCAAAUUCUUGUAAAUUAUUAACACAAUUAUUGAUAUAAGAUAAUUUUAUGUUUAUAUGUUUCAUACAUAAAUAAUUAUAUUUAUCCAAUAUUAAAAUAAAUUGAUAUAUUUAUUUCUUUUCGCAAUAAUGUAUUUAUUUCUUUAAAUGUAUAUAAUUAAAUCAAAAUUAAAGUUUUAAAUAUACAUUUGAACCACAAUUAAAGUUUCACGUAUAAAAUUGCAUCAAAUUAAAAUAUAUGUAUAUAAUUGACAUUAAAUAAAAAUUUAUGUAUAAUUUUAAAAUUUAUUCCUAAAUUUAUAGCUAAUCUUUAAUUACAUUACUCUUAUAUAUUGAUAUUUCGAAGUACUUGUAUUUGAAUAAUUAUUUUUUUGCUCUUUGUAUUUGAAUAAUUAUUUUUUUGCUCUUUCUUUAAUACUCUAUACUAGCUCUUUUUUUACUACUUUAAAUUCUUUUGUAUUUCUUUAAUAGUCAUUGGUAACAAGGAUGACUUUGACAUGGAUGUUUUGUCAAUAGGAAACAUUGAACUUCAACUUGAGAUGAUGGAUUUAGCAGCUGAAGUUAAAAUAAAUUAUAGUUGUUUGAAUUGGAUUGAAUCAGUUGGUUAGACGUUGGUUAAAGUAUCAAUUUAGUAAGAGUUGUCAAAUUGGUAGACCCACGAACCAAGAUAAAAAUUGGUUAAACGGGUGGUUGAACCUUUUUUUUAAUGAUUUAUUUAAUCAAAUGUAUUAAAAACGUAGUACUCUAAUGGCGAAGCCAGAGGGCUGGCUGGGCCCUGCCUUUCCCUAAAAUAAAAAAUUUCUCAUUUAAGCCCUUUAUAAUUUAUAAAAUUUUAAAUUAGUAAUGGUAAAAUUGCACUUUGGCCUCCUAAAAUGAUAAAAAUUUAAUUUAAUCAUUUAAAAAUUAUAAAGAUAUAACUAUUAAAAUGGUAAAAUUACAUUUUUACUAUCGUAAAAGUAUACAAUUUAAUUCUACCCAAAAAAAAUUUUUUAACUUUGUCCCUGCAUUACUUAGAUGCGUUAUGGUAUUCUAGGUUUUGGGUUUCUUUCUGUUUUUUAGGUCAUUAUGCUUUAUCAUGUUGGUGUUGUGAGUGUACGUUGUUUGAAUUGUUGGUUUUAUUUCAAUUUCAAGUGUUUAAGUCAGGGCUUUUGUUGUUUUGGGAGUGAUCGAGUACUUCAUGUACAACUUUGGGGGUAUUUUACCUCUUUAUCAAUAAAUUUGUUUUUGGCUAAACCAAAAAGAAAAAAAAAACGAAAAAUGAAAAAGAUGUAAUUAAUGUACCAUGUAAGUUGAGACUAUCAUCGACAACACAAUUAUCAAUGACCAAGUCUUUAAGAGAAGUGAGGGCUCCAAUAUCUUGAACAACGUUGGAAGUAAGGGAUAAAUCUAUUAAGGUCAAUUCUUUCAAACUUGUCAAAUUUUGCCACCCUAUAAAAAAAAUUUACGAAUAUGAGUAUGUUAUGAAAUAUAUAUAUAUAAUCUCAAAUUCAAAUGUUUUGUGCAAAUAUUUUAAUAGAGAUAUAUAUUAUUUAUUUGUUAUGUAGGAGCAAACGAUAUUUUUUAUGUAAUCUAGAAAUUAACUUACUUUGGAUAAUUAUUGUUCCGUUCAAGCUAAAGCUUUCCAAGAAAAGUGUCUUCAAUGACGGGAAUAUGUCGAAUGAUUGAAGUUGAAGAUUAACUACGGUAAAAGAUUUCUUGGUGAAGAGAAAAAGCAUUGCAAACAAAUUAAACGAAACAAAGUAUAUACAGUUAAUAAACUCUUUUAUUUUAGGAGUAUUAGGACUACCUUUUUCGAUAUAACCCGUCAAAUGUAAUUUCUCCAAAUUUUUCAAAGCAGGUAAUCCUAAAGAGAAUAUUCAUAGGUAAAUUUAAGAAGAAAAAAACAAUGUUGUACUAUUUAAAACAUAUGGAAGAUGAUAUCAUUCAAUAGGGAACAGGAGGGAGAAAACACAUUUUACCUCUAACAUCUAUUGAUUCCUCCAUCACGUAUGUGUGUGAUAAAAACAAAGACUUGAGACUUGAAAGGCUACCCAACGAUGACAAUAUGCUACUGUUGAAGACAUUCCCCCACAAAUUAAGUUCUUCUAGAUUCAUCAACUUUAGUUCCCUUUCAUUACCUAUAGAAACACCAUAUAAAAUGUUUCUUUUUCAUAUAUUAUAGAUUUUUCCAAUAAAUAAAAAAACAGGUUAAAUUACCUUGAGAUGGAACAGUGUCAUCCAUUAUGUCAUAGCUUAUAGUCAGUUUCUCUAAAUUACUCAAAACAUUUAAAUCUGCAGAGAAAAUUACAAACAAUUAAAAUUUGUAAUGACAAACAAUUAAGAGAAAAGAUUGUAUGAAAUUGUGAUUCUAUAUUAUCCUUAUCCAUUUUCAAUAGAAGAAUGACAAAUCAGAUUUUUUCUUCCUCAUUUUCAGCUUUCUAACCUAAAAAUUAAUAUUCAAAUCCAACUAAAAAUGCUAAAACUAAGGAGGAAAAUUUUGAUUUGUCAUUCUCCUAUUGAAAAUGGAUAAAGAUAACGUGGAAUCACAAUUUUAUACAAUAUUCUUUCAAAUCUUAAAGCAUGCUUACCUUGAAUAUAGGUGGAUUGUAUCAAAAGGUUACUUUCUAAAUUCAAAGAUUUCAGAUGUGGGAGAGCAGCGAGAGAUGAAAAUAUGCUGUUGUUGAAAUAAUUAAAACUUAAAUCCAGCACCUCAAGUUUGGCCAACCUCAAUUCUCUUUUCUGCAAUUGAUAAUUGUAUAAACAGUAUUUUGAUUUAACUACUCAAAUGUUGCAUAUGUUAAAGAUAAUUAUGUUGACUUACACUUUGGAAUAAAGAUCCGAGGCUCUCGAUUUGAUUGCCGCUUAGAUGCAAUUCCUUUAAAUUCUUCAAACUAUUGAGUUCUGUUAAAACACAAUUAUAUAUAUCAUCUAGUUAUUAAAGAAUAAGCUUUUUCAAUAUAAGCAUAAGAUUUUACCAGUAACCUUACCUGAUAUAUCAAUACUUCCUUGUAAUCCACAAGUAUUCAAAAGCAAAGUUUUUAGAGAUGUAAACUCGACAAGAUAGGAUAGGAUGUUGUUUCCUAAUAAUGUGUUGUGGCUUAAAUCCAAAAUCUCCAACUUGUUCAUGAAUGAACCUUGAUUGUCAAUGAAACCAGCAAUGUAGUUUUUUCCCAAAUCAAGACUCUUCAAUUCCUGGAAGGGAAGAAACAAAGAGAUGUUGAGAUACCAACCCUGACUGAUAUUGUUGUAGACUUGAACAGAACUAUACUCAAGGAACAGUCGGGUGACUCGUCCAGUGGAAGUGCUGCACUCAACCCCAUUCCAUCGGCAACAAUUUCCCUUCCCCCAAGAAAUCCCUUCAUCAUUAAUAAGAGGGAAGAAAGGUUUGAGUUGGAGGAGAGCAGCUUUCUCAAUCUCCCAGCACCCUUCACUUUGAUACCCUCCAAAUAAGAAAGCAAGCACAAACACCCACACCAAUUUCCAGUACUCCAUCUCCCUUAAAUCAAUACUCACUCAGUCUCAAAUAUUGGCAUGCAGCAGCACUACACCUUUGGGGUUUAUAUAAUAGUAAAUCUAAAUGAGUAUGUUUCCUGGAAAUUCAUUGAAUAGACCAACUGUUCAUUCUUUAAAGCCUUGAAAUCAGGGGCGUAGCCAGGGGGCUGGCAUGGACCCGCCCCCUAAAAUGAAAAAUUUCAUUUUAAGUCUUUGAAAUUUUUUAAAAAUUUUAAAUUAAUAAAGAUAAAAUUAUACUUUGGCCCCCAUAAAAUUAUAAAAAUUUAAUUUAAUCCUUUACAAAUUAUAAAAAUAUAAACUAUAAAAAAUUAAAAUUUCAUCUAGCCCCCUCAAAAAAAAUUUUCUGCCUUCGCCCCUGCUUGAAAUCAAUGGACUUUCAAUGAAUAAGUUUUUGUUUAUUCUUUACCAUUUUCAUGUUCCACGCUUUAGUGUUUGUAGAAUUAAAUUUACUUAACCUUUCUUAGUCCUUUUCUGCAAAUCUUUCUUUGGGGAAAAUUACAGUCAAAUUUCUUUUUACUUUCCUGCAAUUUUUCUUUGUGGGAAAGUAACCAAACUCAUUCCGUGAAAAACACACCCACCUCAAUUACGCACCAACUUUGACGACAAAAAGCUAAAUUAAUAAAAUAUAUAUAAAUUUAAAGUUCAUUAUUUUAUUCAAAAAAUUCUAUAUACUUUUGUUAUGUUUAAACAAAUUCUUAAAUUACAACAUAAAUUUAAUAUUUCCCCUAAAAAAUUUUAAUUACAAAUAAAAAAUAAAAGAAAUUUUUUUAAAAAAAAAGUAAAUAGUUUAAAUAUUAUUUUAAUGUUUUAACCUUAAUAAUUGGUACUAUGCCAAUAGGACGUAUACUCCCUUGGAAAUGAAUGUUAUUGAGAACGGUUGAUUUCUUGAUUGCAUUAUUGGUGAGAGGUCCUUGAUUUAUCUUAAUUUUUUACUCAUGUGAUGUACAGAUCAAUUUUGUAUAUCAGCUAAAAUGUAUUAAAUAUUUUUCUUUUUUUAUAAUUUUCAUGAAUGAAAUGAGAAAAAUAUACAAAUUGAUUAUUAAAAUAAAAUCGUUAAAACUAAUAAGUGAAACAACAAUUAAAAUGAAUAAAUCUUAAAUCAUAUAUUAACUUUGAUUUAAUGUGUAAUUUUUUACAUAAAAUUUUAAUUUGAUCCAAUUUUUACAAAUUAUUAAUAGAAUUAUUGAUAUAACAUAAUUUUAUAUUUAUAUAUUGCAUACAUAAAUAAUUUAUAUUUAUCCAAUAAAUAAAAAAAUUAAUGUAUUUAUUUCUUUAAAAGUGUAUGAUUGAACCAAAACUAAAGUUUCACGUAUACAUUUAAACCAUAAUAAAAGUUUCAUGUGUAUAAUUACAAUAAAUCAAAGUUCAUAUAUAAUUGUUCAUUGAACCAAAAUUCAUGUAUAAGUUUAAGAUUUGUCCCUAAUUAAAAUUCAAAACUAUAUAUUCAAUAGUUUUAAGAAUUAUAAAACAAUAUCUGAACAUUAUUUAACAAAAAAUUUAAUUUAAUGAUUUUUGGAGAAAAAAAUUUAAGCCCUAAUGUGUGAACUAUUGCCAAGUUCAGGGCCUGAAUUAGAUAAUAAAAUUUUUAAGCCUCAAUGUAAGUAAAGUUACCAAAUUUAGGCUUCAAAAUGUGAUUUAACCCAAUAAAAAAACAUGUUGUAAGUCUCAAUUUUACGAAUAAUAACAGUGUGAGGGACUAAAUUAUAACAAAAAUAAAACUUUGAGAGAUUUAAAAUAAAAUUAUCUUGCCUUUCCAUCUUUCACUGCUCAUAUAAUUAUAAAUACAUCUUUUUUAUAGUCUUCAAAACCCCUUAAUUUCACGUAUUUCACAUCCCAUUCCAUCUUCAAUUCAUUAUAAAUUUUAUCCCAUGUGAUAGCAUUUAAGAUUAAAUAUUUGCACACCCAGUCAAAUUUCACACUACUUUCCUACUUACCUAGGUAAAAGUACCGUAAAGCUCUUGUACUAGGUGUUAAAUUACAUUUUACCCCUUCUACUUAAGUAUGACAAAUUAAUUCUUAUAUAUUAGAUCAAAGAGUCUAAUGUUACCAGAAAUUCCUAGUUCAGCCCCUAACGCUACAAGACCUUCCCGGUUCAGUCCUUUAAACGUUAAAAAAAUCGAUUGGAGUAUCUAACCAAUCAUAAAUUAUCACAUGACAUACACUAGCGUCACAAUGUCAUCAUCAUCCAAGAAAAAACACUUAAAAAAUCUUAAAUUAUAAAAAAAUUACAAAAUAAUUAUAAAAAUUUAAAAAUAUAUAUAUAAAGGGAACCAACCAGCUUCAGCAUUGAUCUACAAAAAUGUUCAUAUAAAAAUGUUAGAUCAAUAUAGUAAAACUAAUACUAAACUAAUGAAAAUUACAUGCCAAAGCAUGUAGCCUCUUACAAAAGAUUUCCACUGCUUCAGCAUUGAACCAGUCAUUUUUCAUCUGCAAUGUAAAAUAGACACAACUAGUACCUCAUCAUCAUAUUUAUAAUCCCGAAUUCAAUAAAUAUACCUUUUUAAAAUGGAAGGAGAAACAUACAAAGUAAGGGUAGUCAUCGAUGUUGAAGUUCUCCGGGGCACUUUUGACGAACAAAUUUAUGAAAUAGAGAACAAAAUUCCCACAUCCUUUGCCAUUCCUUUGUUGUGGCACCUGAAAAGAUAUCAAGGGUCAAAUUGAUUAAAAAAGAAAGGAUGAUCAAGAACAUCAGCAAAGUGUACUAUAAUCACCUUAGGGACCAAAAGAGGAACCUGAUAAAUCAUCUGCUUAUUUUGGGCCUGCCUUCGGCUUUAUAAAUGUCGAACAUGAACCUGCUAGUGAGAAAUAUGUAUUGAGCAUUAGAGACCGUGCCUCUUUUACUCUACUAGUAAUGCAAGUUAUGCAAAUGAGUAAAUAUACCUUCGUAUAUCUGCUUCGAGACGCAACGGGUCGGACAUCUGUAAUGAAUCCAACAGCAACAUACAAGGUGUUCUGGUUUUUGAUUGCAAACUUUCACCGAAAUGACAGAAGAUUAAGAGGCUCCAAUGACCCCUAAAGAAAAUACAGUUUUCAAAUGAUGAAAUCAAAUUUACUGAAAAAUCGAACACCACUGUGAUAUUUGACAAUAGUAACCAGCAAACUAUCGGAAUGAGAACAUAUUUCGUCGAAAAUAUCUCUUUCCUCUUAACCCAAGAUAGAACCUUUUCUCUAUAAGAUGCUUUCCUAUACCAUAAGAUGCUUUCUUAUACCAUGCAAACCAUUGACAAUCUAAGCGCGUAAACAAAUCACGCUUAUCUGCUGGCAACCUGUUCCACAGGGUCCUGAAAAUCUCCCAAAACCCAUUCAGGAAAACACACGCACACUAAUUAAAUUCAUUCUUAUCUGCUUAACUUUUUGAGGGAGAGAAUGUUCAUAGAAAAGAUGAGUGAAAUUUGUGUCACUCCAUCCUCUAUAUAUGUCAUCCUACAGUAUUAUCAUGCAAAGAUAUAUAUUAUUUAUUUGUUAUAUAGGAGCAAACAAUAUUUUUGAUGUAAUUUUGAAAAUAAUUUACUUUGAAUAAUUAUUGUCCCCUUCAAGCUAAACAUUUUUAAAGAAAGAGUUUUCAAUGACGGGAAUAUUUUCAAUGAUUGAAGUUGAAUUUCAACUACUAAUGGAAAUGAUUUUUUUUAUGGAAAGAAGAAGCAUUACAAACAAAUUAAAUGAAACAAAGUAUAUACCAUUAAUAAACCCUUUUAUUUUAGGAGUAUUAGGACCAAAUUAAUUGUAGAAACAUGAUUUUGUUCUAGCAAUAUGUACCAUAUUCAGAUUGACACUUCACAUGUAGUUUCUCCAAGUUUUUCAAAGUAGGUAACCCUGAGGAGAAUAUUCAUAGAUAAAAAUAAAAAUAAAAAUAAAAACAAUGUUCAUAAAAUUUCUUAAUCAUGAUUGAAUUUGUUCUAUCUAAAAACUAAGCUACAAUGACGGUGGAAAACGCUCUGGAUGUUGAUGGUAUCUGUUCUCUGCCAGUGGUUGAAGAUGGUGGCGGAGUGCGGGUGGAAGACGAUCCUAAUACAAAGAAAGUUAGAUUCAAAGAAGAUAAUAAUGGGGAAAUCAUCGAUAUGUUGGUGGAAACGAGAGCUAGUUCUUCAAUCUCCUGGAAGGAUAAAUUAUUGGGGACUAAUCCUGGAGAUCUGAAUAAGGUUAGAGUGGUCUCUUCUGGUUUCAGUGCCGAUGUUGACUUAGAAAUUCUGGAGGGAGACAUACAUAGAUCUAUGGCCAAUGGAAUCCCUACCAUUGAUUUUUCUGAGAGGAUUCAACAAAUAUUAUAUAAAGAAAUGGAGCAAACAGUUGUCAUAAAACUGCUAGGAAGGAAUAUUGGUUAUGGAGCCUUAAACAACCGCAUAAGCAGUUUAUGGAACCCUUCCAUGCCUUUCCAUCUCAUGGACAUUGAGAAUGGAUAUUUCCUCGCUAAGUUUCAAUCCCCAGAUGACUAUGCUAAGGUUUUGUCGCAGGGGCCUUGGAUGAUUUAUGGACAAUACCUGACUGUCCAAACUUGGACAAAAGAGUUCACUCCAUCUCAAGCAUAUCCAAGCAUGGUGUUAGCUUGGAUAAGACUACCAGGUCUUCCAGGGUUCUUGUAUAAAAGGAGAAUACUCGAAGAAAUAGGGGGUAUGAUCGGUAAAGUUGUCCGUUUGGACUUCAAUAUAGACAGCAGAACUAGGGGAAGGUUUGCCCGAAUGGCUGUUUAUAUUAAUCUCGAUAAACCCCUGACUACUCAAGUCCUUGUAAACGGGUUACAUCAAAAGGUUGAAUAUGAAGCUCUACCCACGAUUUUUUUUUACUUGUGGAAAAUAUGGCCAUACUAAAGAGCUCUGUUCCGUAAAGCAACCGGGACCAUCAUCUGGAAAGGAGCAAAUCAGGGAUAUUCCAGCGAAGAGGGCAACCGAAGAAGACGGAGCAGCGUAGGGCCAUGGAUGUUGUCGAGAAUAAAAAUAGGCGCAAAUUUAGAAACAUUAAUUCCAGUAAAAAAAAUCUUUGGGAUCAAAAAAAUCAGGCUCCCGUUUUGACGCCUUGACAAAUAUGGAAAAUCUGAAUUUGAAUGUUGGAACAAAUAAGGGAACAAAGGGUCAAGAGGUGGAUGUUGGAAAAGUUACAGAGCAGAUAAGGGAAAAUAAUAAAGGAGAGGAGCGGAUAUAGGGAGUUAAAAAAAGUGUCGGGCCUGAGAUUUAUAAAGUGAGCAGGCCUACUAUGGAUGGCCCAAUAGUCUCUUUCAUUGUUGCUAAUGUUGAGGCUACUGGUGCAAGAGGCUCGGAUGCUGCCACAUCGGAUAAGGCCACCACCUGCGAGGGGUCAAGUCGAACUAAUGUGCUGGACAGACCAAGCACUAAAUUUAGGGUUCAAGUUGACACUACAGGAGGAUCUUCUAAGUCUUUAAGUAAUCAUGCUAUUAGCAUGACGACCAAUGCUCUAAGUUUUAAUUCAUUUCCAAAUUUUGCUAAUUCUUUGAAUAUGAAUAAUUCUUGUCUUAACCCUGUUUUUGUUGGACAGGAGGAUAACGAUGGUGAUGCUUUAGGCAUAAAGUACAAAGCUGACUUGAUGGUGCCAGAAUUGGUUGAAAUUAAAGUCACCGAUCCUAUUGGAGGCUUAUAUCCUCAGAAACAUACUACAGUAUCUUUCAACAAGAAUGAAUCAGCUGGAGGGAAUUUUUCAAGGAAAAAGAACACCACAGAUUUUAGGGUAAUAAGCCACGUAUUUUGAGGAAGUCGGUGAUUAUUAAAGACGGAGGGUUUGGGGCUAUAAAAAAGAUAAAUAAAGUUACGCAUAGGAAAGGGAUUAAUCUUAAAAAUAAAAAUUCCUCUAAAGUUCCUUUGAGUGACUCUAUGAUCAGGUUAGCUCAGACAGUUUCCAAUUUGAGAGGUGUAAACUCGGAGGUGGCUGGUCAAGGUUCGGGUAAUAGUAUCCAAGAUUGAUUCGUUAUUUUUUGGAUAUUCUGAUUUUAAUUUUUAGAGUUUUACUCUUUUCGUUCCUUUUUAUCUUUUAUUUAUGGAUUUUAAUUUAUCUAUUUUCUCUUGGAACUGCCAAGGUUGCGCGAGUUAUACAUUUUUACGGGCUUUCCGUGAGUAUAAUCUUGAGCAUAAUCCGGAUAUUGUAUGUCUUUUGGAGCGACGAGUUAGUGGUAAAAAAGCUAAUGCUAUUAUUGAUAAGUUGGGUUUUGAUUUCUCUCAUCGCAUUGAGUCUAUUGGUCUUGCAGGGGGCAUUUGGGUUGGAUGGAAGGAUAAUUUUCGCAUCAAAAUUAUGCAUAACCAUCCUCAAUUUAUGCUCCUACUUGUACAAUGCAACACUGUUUUUAACUCUUUUUAUAUUUUUGUUGUGUAUGGUAAUCCUGACAGGGUUAAGAGGAAAACUCUUUUGACUGAUUUAUUAGAAGUUUUACCUCCUGACCCAUUACCUUGGCUUAUCUUAGGAGACUUUAAUGCUAUUCUCUCUCCUAAGGAUAAAAAGAGUGAUCGGUCAACGGGUAAGAGAUGCAAGCUUUUUGGGAAUUUUGUUAAAUCUUGUAAUCUGCUGGAUCUUGGAUUCAUAGGUCCGGCUUUUACUUGGCAAAGAGGUAACAUUUAUGAAUGGAUUGACCGGGCUUUAGCAAAUGAUUCUUGGAUCUCUGCUUCCCCGCAUACUUUAGUUUAUCAUCUUCCGCGUAUUAAAUCAGAUCAUAGACCUAUUCUUAUUUCUACUAACCCUGUUCGUAACCUUCCAAAAGGGAGACCUUUCCGUUUUCUUACAGGAUGGAUAAGACAUGCAAAUUUCAAAGAGUUGGUUUGUACUAAAUGGAGAUUUACAGGUAAUAUGGCUGACUCUUUAUCUGACUUCAGUAUUCAUGUCAAAGAGUGGAACAGGUCUGUCUAUGGAUUUUUAAGAACGCGUAAGAGAUAUCUCAUGAAGUCACUUGGGAAUAUUCAGAAGGCUAUGGAUUGGUCAUCCUCUAGUAGACUUGUUGAUUUGGAGAUGGAGGUUCGGGAUGACCUAGAAAAUGUUCUUAAUCAUGAAGAGCUCAUUUAGAGACAGAAGGCCAGAUGUGACUGACUUCAGUUCGGUGAUCGUAAUACUAAGUUCUUUCAUAGUCGCACCAUGCAAAGGAGGAAACUUAAUCACAUAUUGGCUUUACGCAUAAGUAAUGGGGAGUGGAGUUCUGAUCAAAGUGUUCUUAGUGGCAGCUAGAUUUUUUUAGAGACUUUAUGGUGAAUCUCCUACUCCCAUGAGUACUUUUCCAUUGGAUGUAUUUCCUCGUUUCAAGGAUAAAGACAUUGAUUUUCUUAAAAAGUUGGUAUCGAAUGAGGAGAUAAAGAAGACCCUUUUUGAUAUGGCUCCUUUGAAGGCUCCGGAAAGUGAUGGGUAUCACGCACAAUUUUUUCAGAGUCAGUAGGAUUUCGUUGGAGAGGCGGUUUGCAAUUGGAUCCAGAGGAUCUUUGCUGGGAAUAAGAUUGAGGAAGAUCUCAAUAACACCUUAAUCGUGCUUGUUCCUAAGAAAGAGUGUCCAGAAAAUUUCAGCCACUUUCAACCAAUUAGUCUAUGUUCGGUUAUGUAUAAAUUGGUCAUGAAGGUGAUCGCCAAUAGAUUCAAACAGGUGUUUUCGAAGUAUAUUUCAUCCGAGCAAACUGGAUUUAUUGCAGGUCGCAACAUUUCUGACAAUAUCUUAAUUGCGCAAGAAGUUAUCCACUCGAUGCGUAGUAGGAAAAUUGACAGGAAUUGGAUGGCCAUUAAAUUGGAUUUGGAGAAAGCUUACGACGGGAUUAGCUGGGACUUUAUUGAUAUGACUCUUGUAGCUGCUGGAGUUCCCGAAUUUCUUAGAAAGGUAAUUAUGAGUGCUAUAUAUUCUUCAUCUAUGAAAAUCCUAUGGAAUGGGGUUUCGUCUCAAUCCUUUAGGCCUAUGCGGGGGAUCAGAUAGGGAUGUCCUUUAUCACCCUACCUUUUCGUCCUUUGUAUGGAAUGGUUAGAACAUUUUAUUCAGUCUGAGAUAUCUGUAGGAAGGUGGUGUCCGGUUUAGCUUUCUAGAUCAGGGCCAUGUUUAUCCCACCUUUUUUUCGCUGAUGACCUUGUUAUUUUUGGCAAAGAUGAGAUGGAUCAGGCUAUCUUGAUUAAGGAAACUCUUCAAAGCUUCUGUGCCUUCUCUGGACAUAAGGUCAAUGCUAGAAAGAGCAAUAUGUACUUUUCCAAAGGUGUCGAUGAAAGCUUAUGUGACCAGAUUAGCUAUUUCUUUGGCUUCCAGAAGGUUCAGAAUUUGGGUUCUUAUUUGGGAGUUCCUCUCUAACAUAAUCGGGUUACUAAGAGUACCCUUAAUUUUAUUAUUGAUAAAGUGCGACACAAACUUCAGAAUUGGGAAGCCAGGAAGCUAUCCUUUGCAGGGCGAGUCACGCUGGCGCAAUCUGUCCUUCUCGCCAUUCCCAACUAUUUUAUGCAGACUAUUCUAGUCCCGAAGGGGGUGUGUGACGAGAUUGAAAAGAUUGCAAGACAGUUCAUUUGGGGAAGCUCUAUGGGAUAUACUAAAAAUGCGUUGGUAGGUUGGGAGUCUAUUUGCAAACCAAGAUCUCGCGGAGGGCUUGGAUUAAGGCAUCUCUCUGACCAGAAUAAUUUUUUCUUAUGAAAAUCACGUUCAAUCUCACCUCUCAAAAAGACGUCUUAUGGGUUCGUGUCCUGAGGUCGAAUUAUGGAUGGAAAAAACAUCUUCCUGAUUUCAUUCACAGAACUAAUUAUUCUCACCUUUGGCGUUCUCUCUCUAAGGUAUGGCCACUACUACGGGAGAACCUCAUUUGGUCUAUUGGGGAUGGCUUUUCCAUCCGUAGCUGGAAAAACGCUUGGAUUCCUGAGGUUGGUCCUCUUUUACCCUAUGCUACAGGACAUUCUAGUAUUAAUCUAAAGUGUAAUCUGAAAGAUUGGGUUCUACCUGAUGGUACUUGGAACUUGGAUUUGGUUCGUUUAUGGUUGCCUGAAGAUAUUAUUGUGCGUAUUGUUAGUAUUCCACCUCCGCACCUUGACGGGGGUAUUGACAGAAUCAUCUAGGCACGUUCUGGUUCAAGGUCCUUUUUUGUCCGAAGUGCUUAUUGGACCUUAAAAGAAAGUUCAUGGGGUCUCUCUGAUGAUGCUUGGAAACCUAUCUGGAAGUAUUAAGGCCCGCAAAGAGUUCGUCUUUUUCUUUGGCUUGCAGCCAAACAGAGGCUUCUUACUAAUGCUGAGCGAUUGAGGAGAGGAAUUGGGCAGAGUAGUGUGUGCCCUCUUUGUGGGCAUGAUUCUGAGGAUAUUCUGCAUGUUUUACGUGAUUGUCAGAUGGCAAAGGAAGCUUGGAUGCUCAUUGUUCUCGCUGAAAGACAUUUCAGGUUCUUUUCUGACCCUUUUCAAUUCUGGUUUUCCUCUAACCUUUGUUGCCAUAAUCAGUUGCAGGAUAAAUGAUCUACUUGGUCGUACCUCUUUGGUAUAGUCGCUUAGAGACUGUGGAAGAAUAGGAAUCUUUUCAUUUUCCAAAACAUCAAUUGGUCGGCUUCUGAAAUUAUUAAGUCUUCCCUCAGCUGGGCUCAGCACUUUGAACCGUUUCUUUCUAAAGAUACAUCUCCUACAACUACUCAUGAAGGUCAUUAGCACUUGGCUGAGAAUUGGGUUCACUUGUUUGUGGAUGGAGCAGUCGCCAGAGAUUCAGGAAAUACAGCAGCGGGAGGCGUGAUCAGAGAUAGGAGCGGUAAUUGGAUUCUGGGAUUUACUCACUACCUAGGUAGAUGUUCCCCCUUGGAGGCAGAACUUUGGGGUAUUUUGGAUGGUAUACUCGUCUCUCUAAGCAGGGGCUACAAAAAAGUCUAAAUUUAGUCUGACAACCUUGAUGUGGUAAGGGCUUUGACUAUGGAAAUGGCAGUGAACUCUGGUAUUACAGUCUUCAGAAGAGUUAAAAGACUUAUGCAUUCUGAAGGACAAUGGGAAAUCAAGUAUGUUCCCAGGGAGUGUAAUUUAAUUGCGGAUCAACUGGCAAAACUUAGCCUCUCUUGGAAGGCAUCCCUCCAACUUCUUGAAGCUCCACCUGAUUUGGUGGUUUCGGUUAUUGAGCAAGACCAAGCUUUUAGGCCCUUUUAGGAGGUUCUAAUUUGUUUUUUUUUUAUAUUAUUUUCACCAAAAAAAAGCAUAUUGAAGAUGAUAUAUUUCAAUAGGGAAAAAGAGGGAGCAACCCAAUUUUACCUCUAAUAUCUAUUAGACGAACCAAAACUAAAGUUUCAUAUAUACAUUUGAAUGAUAAUAAAAGUUUCAUGUGUAUAAUUGCAGCAAAUUAAAGUUCAUAUAUAAUUGUUAAUUGAAUCAAAGUUCAUGUAUAAUUUUGAGAUUUGUCCUAAUUAAAAUGCAAAACUAUAAAUUCAAUACUUUUAAGAAUUAUAAAACAUUAUCUAAACAUUAUCUAACAGGAAUUUUAAUUUAAUUAUUUUUUAAUUUGAUUAUGUUUGAUAAUUAAUUUAAUAAAUUUUUAUUAUAAUAAAUACUUAAAUACAAUAUUUCUUUUCUUAAAUUAAACGGUGCAAGUUAAAUAUAUAUAUAUUAUCAUGUAUCGGAUUGAUUGUUGAAGGUCAUAUUCCCAUAUUCAAGUGUUGAACACGAGUGUUAGUAAUAAAUAUUUUAAUAAAAAUAAAAGCGAAGCAGGAUAGGGUUUAGGUUUGGUAGGGGGCCCGGCCCCUUUAAAAUGGAAAAUUUUGAUAAAAUUGUACUUUGGCUCCCAAAAAUGAUAAAAAAAAAUUUAUUAAUCCUUUAAAAAUUAUAUAAAAAUAUAGGCUAUUCAAAUAAUGAAAUUAUAUUUUUAGUAUCGCAAAAAUUACAAUUUAAUUUCGGCCCCAUAAAAAAAUUUCAAGCUUUGGCCCAAUGAUAGUCACCUAAAACGAUCAUGCAUUGGGUCAUUAAUUGAAUGGUGAACGAGCAAGUAUUAAGGUGCUGCAAAAGUGAUUGAUAGGUAUAAUGUAGGUAGAAAAGAAAACCAUUUUUGGGGUUCUGUUUUGUGUAAGAGAAACCAAGAUGACAAUGGAUGGUUUUAAAAAAAUGAAUAUCCGAUGCUAUCUGAUCUGCUUAUUAAUUUUUUCAAUUUGAAAAAUAAAUUAUGAUCCAUAUACUUGAUUUUACAGAUUAUUCCAAGAAGAGAGACCGGUGUGGCACACCAUUAAUUGCAAUAUCCUUUCAAAGGAUUACAAGGAUACCAAAAGUUGAUGACACUCAUUUUAUUAUGAUCAUGAACUCAGAUGAUCCAUCUACUAAUGAUUCAUCCAAAUGACUGCUGUAAAUCCUCAUUCACCUUUUGCAUACAUUUACAAAUUAUUUGUUAAUAUCCACUUAUUUGAAAAAAAAAUUAUUCUCGUACUUUACAAAUUACAUUCUUUAUUAACAAAGAUAACAGUUCAAGAAUUUGAAGAUCUGGCAUGCAUCUUUCAAAAAGAUUAGAGUUUGGAUGAAUUUGUUGAAGCUGAUCUCCAUGUAGCUGGUAUGAAGCAAGUGCAGCUGGAUGUUGGCCAUGCAAGCUCGUGACAAGCAUGUAGCAACUUUGGUUUCUUGUUGCUGUUGGAUUUGAACUAAUGUUUUGAUAUUUUGUAAUCUAGUUUGUUUCUUCAACUUAGUUGGUAAUAUUUUGAUGUAAUCCAUUGAUUGAUUGACUGAAAUUUCAGCAAUACAACUUGGACAAUUAACUUAGAUAUUUUCAAUGUAAUAGAGUGGGGUUAGGUAUGUGAUUUGGUAGUCAUUUUGACUUGUACACUUCAUGUUUAGUUUUCAUAUGUAAUGGCAAUAUGCUGAUGAUGAUUUAUGAAAUACAUAUCAUUUUUCAUCAAGUUUCUCAACUAAUUCCAUUGCUUCUUCUUCCGUUUUCUUUCUUCUUCUUUUAUUUUUGCUCGAAUUCUUCUUACUUGGUUAGCAAGAAUCGUGACUUGCUGCUAAAGCUACAGCUGGACCAGUUGCUUGCACGCUCAUUGACACCAACAAUUGGUAUCAGAGCCUUUAUCUUAGAAGACCUGUGGUGUGUAAACCAUAACUCAAAUGGCUUCCUCAAGUUUUUCUCCAACAGCUCCACUAGUCUUUAGUGGUGAAGGCUUCCAUAUUUGGCUGGUCAAGAUGAAAACAUACCUUCAGGCAUUUGAUCUGUGGGAAGUGGUGAACUCGGAUACUGAGCCUGCUCCACUGAGGGCCAAUCCAACUGUGGCUUAGAUGAGGCAACAUACAGAUGAAAGGACCAAGAGGCACAAAGCCAUGUCUUGUAUUCAGAACUAUGUUUUUGAUGUGAUCUUCACCAGGAUCAUGACAUGUGAGACCCCGAAGCAGGCUUGGGACAAGCUGAAGGAGGAGUUCCAAGGCACUGAGAGGACUAGGCAGCAGCAGCUUCUAAAUUAGAGAAGGGAUUUCGAGAAUUUAAAAAUGAAAGAAGAGGAAACUGUCAAGUAGUACUCUGACAGGAUAAUGGCUGUUGUAAACAGUAUAAGGCUCCUUGGUGAGCAGUUUGAUGAAGCAAUGAUAGUUGAGAAGGUUCUCUCUACUUUACCAGAGAGAUAUGAAGCAAAGAUAUCCUCCUUAGAGGACUCAAGGGACUUGGCAAGGAUCUCCCUGACUGAGAUUAUCAAUGCUCUCUAUGCUCAAGAGCAAAGAAGAGCCAGCAGGAUAAAGGAGCAUCAGGAAGGUGCAUUUCAGGCCAAAGUCAAGCCUAACUCGAGUAAUGCUGCAUAUAAAGGCAAGAAGAAUUGGAGGGACAAGUCCAAAACAGAUGCUCUAAGAAAAUGGGAUAGACCAUGCAGGCAUUGCAAGAAGCCUGGUCAUCCAGAGGCAAAAUGCUGGUUCAAGCCAGAUGCCAUAUAUCAACAUUGUAAGAAAAUAGGCCAUGUUGAAAAGGUUUGCAAAGAAAAAGACAGACCUGGGCAGAAUCAACCACAACAUAAGGGUGCUGAGGCUCGUGUAGCUGAACAAGGCAGUGAUAGUGAAGAACAAGUGUUUGCAAGCUGCAAAAGGGAAGGUUACAAAAGGGUGGCUCCUUGACAGUGGCUGCACCAACCACAUGUCACCAGAUGUAUCUAUCUUCAAAUCUCUAGAUAGAAGCUGUAAGACUAGAGUAAAGAUUGGAAAUGGACACUGUAUUCAGGCAGAGGGCAAAGGUAAUAUGAUGAUAUGCACUCCAUCAGGUAACAAACUUAUCUCAGAUGUAUUGCUUGUACCUGAAAUUGAUGGAAAUUUGUUGAGCAUAGCCCAACUGCUUGAGAGAGGAUAUACAGUGCUCUUUAAAGGAAAUGAGUGCCAGAUUAGUGACCAAAAAGGGUCCAUACUCAUGACAGUAGCGAUGACUGACAAGAGUUUUGUUGUGGACUGGAACAAGGGUCUAGAUAGUGUCUAUGUAACACCCCUUACCCGAGACCGUCACCGGAAUCUAGUACGAGAUGUUAUCCAAUUUAAUUUACCAAUUCGGAGCAUAAAAAAAAUUACUUUUAAAAUUAAAUUCACUGUUCACAACAAAGUUGUCUACCUGCGUGACUUUCACUAAUUUAAUUAUAACUCGAGUUACAGAACUCAAAAUUUAAAUCCGUAAAUUUUCCCUGAAACUAGACUCAUAUUAAUACUCACCAUAAAAUUUUCAGAAUUUUUGACUUGGCCAAUUAGUACAGUUUAUUCAUUAAAGUAUCCCCUGUUUCACAGCUCGACAGAUCUGACCUCUCGGCACUAAAAAUCAAUUAUCUCUUUGUACAGAAUACAUAUAAGGUUAUUGUUUUUUUAUUUUGAAAAUAGACUCACUAAUAAAUCUACACAUAUAAAUUAUGACCCAUAAUUAUUUCUGUACAAUUUAUAAUGAUUUUCUAAAGUCAGAACAGGGGACUUCAAAAACCAUUCUGACCCUGUCUCACUAAAAUUCAAAUAUCUCAAAAUACAGAAUUCCUUUUCCUACAUCGUUUCUUUCAUAUAAAAAUAGACUUGAUAAGCUUUAAUUCCAUAUAUAAUUCACUCUCUAAUUCCAUUUCUACUAUUUAUGGUGAAUUUUUACAUUCACGUCACUGCUGCUGUCAAAGAAACUGCUUCUUUGAAUUAGUUACCAUUUACACAUACAUAAUACCAAAACAUAAUCUUUACUAACCAUUUCAAUAGCUAAUCUUAGCCAUAUCAUUUGAACAUGCUCAAGAUGAUUAAGACUCUAUACAUGCCAUAGUUCAAACAUUUUGAAAAGCACAUAAUACCGAGAUGGCUAUGAUAGUGUGAUACGAGCUCCGACGGUCCACUAUUCGAUCAAGUUCAAAUCACUAUAAAACAAAGGAAAGAAAGAGAUGUGUAAGCUAUAAAUAGCUUAGUAAGUUACAUGUAAACAAUAAUUACUCAUUUAAUAAUUAACACUUUUAACAUAUAACUAAUCAAAACAUUUCUUAGCAACUUCAAUCACUUACACAUGCACAAUCUUACCAAUUCACUUGCAUAUACAUUUUCACACUUAACAUUUCAUAUUCACUUUAAUUCAUUAUUAAUCCCGUUGAACAGUUGGAAUAUACACGGAUACGUAGAGAUUUAGCACAUAAGUGCCACACUGAUAUGUAGCCGAAGCUACCACUGAUAUGUAGCCGAAGCUACCACUGAAAUGUAGCCGAAGCUACCACUGAUCAAUAACACUGGAAAUGUCCACGGGCCUGCUCACACAAGCUGUCAGGUGUCUGCAACACAUGCUAGAUCACCCAACACCCGGGACUCACUGUAACACUGUAACACUGGUCUCUAGUGACAUGUCACUUGUAUCCAAUUCUAUUCCUAAGUUCAACCGGGAAUUUACACUUAACACUUUAUUACUUGAAUAAUUCAUGAACAAUUUUCCUUCCACAUUCAAUAUUAAUUCACAUAUCAAAUAUAAUUCACAAUUUAUACAAAUAUAACUAUUAUUUACAUAUAACUUACCUCGGAUGCAAAACGACUAUUUUUUUGUAAUUUAGUCGAUAACUUUCUCUUUUCCCCGAUCACUUCCACUAUUUCUUCUUUCUUGAUCUAUAUUAACACAAUUUAAUACAUUUUAUCAACAUUUCAUUCAAAUACAAUUCAUACACAACAUUUUGGCAAAUUUAUAUUUUUCCCCGAAACUUUUCAAAAAUUCCACUUUUGUCCCUAAGCUCGUAAAAAUAAAAUUCACUAAAUUUUUAAAUUUCAAACUUCACUAAAUCAUAUUUCAUGCUCAUAACAGCCCUCAAUUUCACAAAAUCACAACUUUAUGCACACUUUACCAUCUUUCACAAUUUAGCCCUUUUUCAACAUUUUCAUCAAAAUUCAUCUAGUAAAACUUGUAAUUAACACUUCAAACAUUCAUUAUCUAACAUCACUAAUCAAUUUACAAUUAUAUCAUGAAUGGGUAAAUUUUCAAACUUUAAUUUCAUUUAAAUUAAAUAGUAGAAACAUGAAAUUCAAGCUUCAAUAAGCAUAAAAAUACGAAAAUAAUUAAAAACGGGGCAAGAAAUCACUUACAAUUGAGCUUAGGAAGUUCAAGAACCCUAGCUAUGGUGACAUGAAUUUUUUUUGGCAGCAAACGUCUGAUUUUAAGAAGAUGAACACUUGUUUUCAUCUUUAUUUUGUCUUUUAUUCAAUUUGGACAAAAAUGCCCUUGACCCAUUACUUAGAUAUUUUUCUAGAAAUACCCUUUUGUGUCCAUAACACUAAUUUAUGGUCUAAUUGCCACAUAAACACUUCCAAUUUCAUGCAAUAAUUCAAUUAAGUCAUUUAAUCACUAAUUAGACACACUUUGCAUUUUUUUCAAUUUAGUCCUAAAAAUUCAAUUAAGCACUAAAGCAUUAAAAUUUCCUAUCCAUAUUUUCACACAAUAUUUCAAUCAAUCAGUAACUAAUAAAAAUUUAUAAAAUUAAACUAUUUCUCUUCGGAUUUGUGGUUACGAAACCACUAUUCCGAUUAGGCCCUAUUUCAGGCUAUCACAAUUCUCCCCCCUUAGGGAUUUUCGUCCCCGAAAAUCUUACCAGUGAAUAAGUUGGGAUACUGUUUCCUCAUAGCCUCCUCGGUUUCCCAUGUUGCCUCUUCCAUCCCAUGUCGUUGCCAUAACACUUUCACUAAAGCAAUUUCUUUGUUUCUCAACUGUUUCACUUCUCGUGCCAAGAUUCGAAUCGGUUCUUCUUCGUAUGUCAUAUCCGAUCGAAUUUCCACUUCAGUCGGUGAAAUCACAUGUGAUGGGUCCGAUCGAUAUCGCCUCAACAUAGAAACAUGAAACACAUUAUGAAUUCUUUCCAAUUCCGGGGGUAAAGACAAUCGAUAAGCCACUGGACCAAUUCUUUCUAUCACUUCAUACGGACCAAUAAAUCUUGGACUUAAUUUACCUUUACGGCCAAAUCUCAGAAUUUUCUUCCAUGGAGACACUUUCAGAAAUACUUUAUCACCCACUUGAAACUCAAUCUCUUUUCUUUUCAAAUCCGCAUACGACUUCUGUCGAUCCGAUGCAGCUUUCAAACAAUCACGGAUUAUCUUCACUUUUUCUUCAGUUUCUUUUACCAAAUCGACUCCAUGUAACUGAUUUUCAUUAAGUUCAGUCCAAUAUAAUGGAGUCCGACACUUUCGUCCAUACAACGCUUCAUAAGGUGCCAUUUUUAUGCUGGAUUGAUAACUAUUAUUAUAUGCAAACUCCACCAAAGGUAGAUAUCUUUCCCAAUUACCUUCAAAUUCCAAUACACAACAUCUCAACAUAUCUUCGAGCACUUAAAUUACUCUUUCAGACUGUCCAUCGGUUUGGGGGUGAAAUGCUGUAUUAAAAUUCAAUUUAGUACCCAAUGCCUCUUGUAAUUUCUUCCAAAACCUUGAAGUAAACCGUGGAUCUCUAUCAGAUAUAAUAGACGCAGGCACACCAUGUAAUCGAACUAUCUCAGCAAUAUACAAUUCAGCUAACUUGUCAAGUGAAAAACUCAUUCGCACAGGAAUGAAAUGAGCUGACUUAGUCAAUCGAUCAACUAUUACCCAAAUUGAGUCUUUCUUUUUCGGUGACAAUGGCAAUCCGGAAACAAAAUCCAUAGUAAUUCUAUCCCACUUCCACUCGGGCACCAUAAUAGGUUGAAGUAACCCUGAAGGUACUUGGUGUUCAGCUUUUACUUGUUGGCACACAAAACACUUUGUCACAUACUCAGAGAUAUCCCGUUUCAUACCCGGCCACCAAUAUAAUUUCUUUAAAUCAUUGUACAUUUUUACACUACCGGGGUGAACUGCCAACCGACUAUCAUGUGCUUCCUGCAAAAUUUUCUGAAUUAAAUCAAUAUUUUUCGGAACACAUAUUCUGUCAUGAAACAUUAAACAUCCAUCUGAAUCAAUCCGAAAAUCAGAAUUAUCGCCCACUGCACACUGAGUCUUUUUUCUUUGUAAUUCAUUAUCCACUUUCUGAGCCUCAUAAAUUUCUUGAAGAAACAAUGGACUAGCUUUUAACUCUGCAAGCAAUGAUCCAUCUUCAGUCAAUGUUAAUCUUGUAUUCAAAGCUCUCAAAGCAAAGAGAGACUUUCUGCUCAAAGCAUCAGCAACUAUAUUGGCUUUUCCCGGAUGAUAAUCUAUUACAAGUUCAUAAUCUUUCAUCAAUUCCAACCAUCUUCGCUGCCGCAAAUUCAGAUCUUUUUGUGUCAUAACAUAUUUCAAACUUUUAUGAUCUGUAAAAACAUGACAUUUCUCACCAUAUAAAUAAUGACGCCAAAUCUUCAAAGCAAAGACAAUAGCAGCCAACUCUAAAUCAUGGGUAGGAUAAUUUCGUUCAUGCGGUUUCAAUUGUCGAGAAGCAUACGCUAUCACUUUUCCUUCUUGCAUCAAUACACAUCCAAGCCCAUUUAAUGACGCGUCACUAUAAACAACAAAUUCCUUUCCUGACUCAGGUUGCACUAACACUGGUGCCUCAGUUAAACACUUCUUUAAUUUCUCAAAACUUUGUUGACACUCCUCGGUCCAUUCGAACUUAACAUCUUUUUGCAACAAUUUUGUCAUCGGUGAAGCUAUCAUCGAAAAACCUUCUACAAAUCGACGAUAAUAUCCGGCUAAGCCCAGAAAACUCCUAACUUCAGAUACAUUUCUUGGAGGCUUCCAUUCAACUAUUGCCGAUAUCUUAUUCGGAUCCACUCGAAUGCCAUCUCCCGAGACAACAUGUCCCAAAAAUCCAACUUCACUAAGCCAAAAUUCACUUUUGCUAAAUUUAGCAAACAAUUUCUUUUCUCGCAGCGUUUGUAGCACAAUUCUUAAAUGUUCAGCAUGCUCGACUUCACUUCGGGAAUAAAUAAGAAUAUCAUCUAUAAACACCACAACAAAUUUAUCCAAAUAGGGCCGGAAAAUUCGAUUCAUCAAAUCCAUAAAAAUAGCUGGAGCAUUAGUCAGACCAAAAGGCAUUACAAGAAACUCAUAGUGACCAUACCGGGUUCUGAAAGCAGUCUUUGGCACAUCUGACUCUUUAACCCUCAAUUGGUAAUAUCCGGAUCUCAAAUCAAUUUUGGAAAACACUGUGGCAUCCUUUAACUGAUCAAACAAGUCAUCUAUUCGGGGCAAUGGAUAUUUAUUCUUUACUGUCACUUUAUUAAGUUGACGAUAAUCAAUACACAAUCUCAAUGUCCCAUCCUUUUUCUUCACAAAUAGCACGGGAGCACCCCACGGAGAAUAACUUGGUCUGACGAAUCCUUUAUCCGUCAACUCUUGCAAUUGCACUUUUAAUUCUUUUAAUUCAGUUGGUGCCAUUCUGUAAGGAGCAAUCGAUAUUGGAGCAGUACCUGGCAUUACUUCAAUACCAAACUCUACUUCUCUAAUCGGAGGCAAACCUGGCAACUCUUCUGGGAACACAUCUAAAUAUUCACAUACCACUGGCACUGAUUCGAUCUUUGUUUCAGACACUUUUAUAUUCAACACAUAAGCAAGAUAUGCUUCACAACCAUUUUUCAAACAUUUCUGAGCAGACAUGGCAGAAAUCACAAUUGGCAUCACAUUUGACUUAUAUGUUUCAACCCGAAGAACUGUACCACUACUACACUUCAACUCAAGAAUUUUCUGACUGCAAUCUAUCUUGGCCUUAUGUAAUGUCAACCAAUCCAUUCCCAAAAUAACAUCAAAUUCAUCAAAUGGCAACAACAUCAAGUUGGCAGGGAAACACUAACCUUGUAUCAUCAAAGGACAAUUUUUGCAUAUUUUAUCAACUAUCACAUGCUUGCCUAAAGGAUUCGACACUUUAAUCACAUACUCAGUCAAUUCAACACACAAAUUUUUAUCAGACACUAAAUUCCUACAUACAUACGAGUGAGUAGAACCAGGAUCAAUCAAUGCAAGAACAUUAGUGUCGUAAAGAGAAAAUAUACCAGUGAUCACAUCGGGGGAAGAUGUUUCCUCUCUAGCUCGGAUGGCAUAAGCUCUUGCUGGGGCUCCCACUUCAGAUCUUACAGUCGUGUCUUUUGUUACACCUUUACCACUAGUUCCAGUCCCCACAUUUCUCGAUGGUCUUCCUCUAGUAGUCACACUGCUCGAUCUCACAUUUUGAAACUUUUCUAUCUCUUCUCUUUCUGGACAAUCUUUCACAAAAUGAUCUUGAGAUCCACAUUUAAAACAUGCUCGGCUGAUUAAAUAACAUUCCCCUAAAUGUCGUUUUCCACAAUGUUGACAUUCCAGUCUAGUAGGUUUAACACUACCUACACUUGCCAUAGAAGUCGCCUGAGCUUUGGAACCUGAAUAUUGUCUUCCUCGAUCUCUUUGAAAAUUCACACUAGAAACAUUCGAUCGGGUAUUCAUUUCUCUAGACUUCUUCGUUUGAAAUUGAAAUGACUUGCCCAUUGAUCUUUUUCUUGCAUCUCUUGCUUCACUUUCCACCUUUCUUUUCUCUUUGCUCAAUUCUUCAGCCUUGAUAGCUCUUUCAACUAGUACCACUAACUCUUUAAUUUCAAGAAUUCCCACUAGCAAUCGGAUAUCCUCGUUUAAUCCAUCUUCAAACCUUUUACACAAUGUAGCUUCAUUAGAUACACACUCUUGGGCAUACUUGCUUAAUUUGACAAAUUCUCGUUCAUAUUCGGCUACCGUCAUGCGCCCUUGUUUCAAUUCAAGAAACUCUUUUCUCUUUUGAUCAAUGAAACGCUGACUCACAUACUUCUUUCGGAAUUCUUCUUGAAAGAAAUCCCAUGUAACUUUCUCUUUAGGCACCACUGACACUAAAGUUUUCCACCAAUUAUAAGCUGAAUCCCUCAACAAUGAGAUAGCACAUUUGAGACUCUCUUCUGGAGUACAAGAUAAUUCAUCCAACACUCUGAUGGUAUUAUCAAGCCAGAACUCUGCUCUUUCAGGAUCAUCAUUUACAUUAGCUCGGAACUCUUCGGCUCCAUACUUUCGAAUUUUGUCCACUGGAGGCUUUGACAAUCUUAACACUUCAGUUUGUUGAGGAGCUAUGGGAACAGCUUGAGGAAUAGGAGGGGGCGGAGGAGGUUGAGCAUUAGGAUUAGUUCUAACAAACUCAGUGUACCAAUUGUUCAUCAUUUGGAGAAAAGCUUCUCGAGCCUCAUCUCCUUGACCCUGAGUCUCAAAUCGACUUUCAACAGGCACAUUACUUUGAGCAUCAUCAGCUGUAUCUCGGUUAGAAUCCAUUACUAUAAAAAAAAAACAUUUUAAGAUGUCAGGAGUCGUCACACUAUCAUUAUUCAAUUAUGGCAUGUAUAGAUAGUCUAUUACACUCGCUACGUUAGUCCGAGAAUCGACUAAACCGUAGCUCUGAUACCACUAAAUGUAACACCCCUUACCCGAGACCGUCACCGGAAUCUAGUACGAGAUGUUAUCCAAUUUAAUUUACCAAUUCGGAGCAUAAAAAAAAAUUACUUUUAAAAUUAAAUUCACUGUUCACAACAAAGUUGUCUACCUGCGUGACUUUCACUAAUUUAAUUAUAACUCGAGUUACAGAACUCAAAAUUUAAAUCCGUAAAUUUUCCCUAAAACUAGACUCAUAUUAAUACUCACCAUAAAAUUUUCAGAAUUUUUGACUUGGCCAAUUAGUACAGUUUAUUCAUUAAAGUAUCCCCUGUUUCACAGCUCGACAGAUCUGACCUCUCGGCACUAAAAAUCAAUUAUCUCUUUGUACAGAAUACAUAUAAGGUUAUUGUUUUUUUAUUUUGAAAAUAGACUCACUAAUAAAUCUACACAUAUAAAUUAUGACCCAUAAUUAUUUCUGUACAAUUUAUAAUGAUUUUCUAAAGUCAGAACAGGGGACUUCAAAAACCAUUCUGACCCUGUCUCACUAAAAUUCAAAUAUCUCAAAAUACAGAAUUCCUUUUCCUACAUCGUUUCUUUCAUAUAAAAAUAGACUUGAUAAGCUUUAAUUCCAUAUAUAAUUCACUCUCUAAUUCCAUUUCUACUAUUUAUGGUGAAUUUUUACAUUCACGUCACUGCUGCUGUCAAAGAAACUGCUUCUUUGAAUUAGUUACCAUUUACACAUACAUAAUACCAAAACAUAAUCUUUACUAACCAUUUCAAUAGCUAAUCUUAGCCAUAUCAUUUGAACAUGCUCAAGAUGAUUAAGACUCUAUACAUGCCAUAGUUCAAACAUUUUGAAAAGCACAUAAUACCGAGAUGGCUAUGAUAGUGUGAUACGAGCUCCGACGGUCCACUAUUCGAUCAAGUUCAAAUCACUAUAAAACAAAGGAAAGAAAGAGAUGUGUAAGCUAUAAAUAGCUUAGUAAGUUACAUGUAAACAAUAAUUACUCAUUUAAUAAUUAACACUUUUAACAUAUAACUAAUCAAAACAUUUCUUAGCAACUUCAAUCACUUACACAUGCACAAUCUUACCAAUUCACUUGCAUAUACAUUUUCACACUUAACAUUUCAUAUUCACUUUAAUUCAUUAUUAAUCCCGUUGAACAGUUGGAAUAUACACGGAUACGUAGAGAUUUAGCACAUAAGUGCCACACUGAUAUGUAGCCGAAGCUACCACUGAUAUGUAGCCGAAGCUACCACUGAAAUGUAGCCGAAGCUACCACUGAUCAAUAACACUGGAAAUGUCCACGGGCCUGCUCACACAAGCUGUCAGGUGUCUGCAACACAUGCUAGAUCACCCAACACCCGGGACUCACUGUAACACUGUAACACUGGUCUCUAGUGACAUGUCACUUGUAUCCAAUUCUAUUCCUAAGUUCAACCGGGAAUUUACACUUAACACUUUAUUACUUGAAUAAUUCAUGAACAAUUUUCCUUCCACAUUCAAUAUUAAUUCACAUAUCAAAUAUAAUUCACAAUUUAUACAAAUAUAACUAUUAUUUACAUAUAACUUACCUCGGAUGCAAAACGACUAUUUUUUUGUAAUUUAGUCGAUAACUUUCUCUUUUCCCCGAUCACUUCCACUAUUUCUUCUUUCUUGAUCUAUAUUAACACAAUUUAAUACAUUUUAUCAACAUUUCAUUCAAAUACAAUUCAUACACAACAUUUUGGCAAAUUUAUAUUUUUCCCCGAAACUUUUCAAAAAUUCCACUUUUGUCCCUAAGCUCGUAAAAAUAAAAUUCACUAAAUUUUUAAAUUUCAAACUUCACUAAAUCAUAUUUCAUGCUCAUAACAGCCCUCAAUUUCACAAAAUCACAACUUUAUGCACACUUUACCAUCUUUCACAAUUUAGCCCUUUUUCAACAUUUUCAUCAAAAUUCAUCUAGUAAAACUUGUAAUUAACACUUCAAACAUUCAUUAUCUAACAUCACUAAUCAAUUUACAAUUAUAUCAUGAAUGGGUAAAUUUUCAAACUUUAAUUUCAUUUAAAUUAAAUAGUAGAAACAUGAAAUUCAAGCUUCAAUAAGCAUAAAAAUACGAAAAUAAUUAAAAACGGGGCAAGAAAUCACUUACAAUUGAGCUUAGGAAGUUCAAGAACCCUAGCUAUGGUGACAUGAAUUUUUUUUGGCAGCAAACGUCUGAUUUUAAGAAGAUGAACACUUGUUUUCAUCUUUAUUUUGUCUUUUAUUCAAUUUGGACAAAAAUGCCCUUGACCCAUUACUUAGAUAUUUUUCUAGAAAUACCCUUUUGUGUCCAUAACACUAAUUUAUGGUCUAAUUGCCACAUAAACACUUCCAAUUUCAUGCAAUAAUUCAAUUAAGUCAUUUAAUCACUAAUUAGACACACUUUGCAUUUUUUUCAAUUUAGUCCUAAAAAUUCAAUUAAGCACUAAAGCAUUAAAAUUUCCUAUCCAUAUUUUCACACAAUAUUUCAAUCAAUCAGUAACUAAUAAAAAUUUAUAAAAUUAAACUAUUUCUCUUCGGAUUUGUGGUUACGAAACUACUAUUCCGAUUAGGCCCUAUUUCGGGCUAUCACAGUCUAUACUGCUUCUAUAGAAGAAUCCAAGCUUUGGCAUCAAAGGCUUGGUCAUGCCAACUUUAAAUCAAUGGCUCGAAUGAUCAACAAGGAUAUGGCUGAAAAUUUCAUCAAAUUAGUCCAAAAUGAAGAUGUUUGUGAAGUUUUUCAGUUGGAAAAGCAAACCAGGCUUCCAUUUCCUACAAGCACAGCUUGGAGAGCCUCAGAGAAGCUUCAAUUAGUGCACACAGAUGUGUGUGGCCCCAUGAAAAUCGAGUCACUCAAUGGCAACAGGUACUUCAUUCUUUUCAUUGAUGAUAGUACCAGAUACUACUGGAUUUACUUCUUAAAGAACAAGUCUGAAGUAGUUCAAGCCUUCCUGAAGUUCAAAAUAGCAGCUGAGAUAGAGACUGGCUGUACACUAAAGUCAAUAAGAUCAGACAAUGGGACUGAAUAUACUUCAGCUCAGUUCCAAGACAUUUGUGCAAGAGCUGGCAUCAAACAUCAACUAACAAAUGUGUAUACACCUCAACAAAAUGGGGUAAGUGAAAGAAAAAAUAGAAGUCUACUAGACAUGGCUAGAUGCAUGAUAUUUGAGAAGAACUUGCCCAAAAACUUGUGGGCUGAGGCAGUUAACACUGUUGUUUAUGUUCAAAACAGACUUCCAACCAAAGCCUUAGAGCAAAAGACUCCAUUUGAGGCCUGGUUUGGAUUCAAGCCAUCACUGGCUCACUUAAGAAUCUUUGGUUGUUUAUGCUUUUCACAAAUACCAGCUGUUAAAAGAAGUAAGUUAGACAAAAGAGCACAAGCAGGCAUCUUGGUAGGUUAUAGCUCAGAGAAAAAGGGCUACAGGAUUUUAGAUACUUCAACGAACAAGGUAUUUGCAAGUAGAGAUGUUGUGUUCAAUGAAAGAACAAGCUGGAAUUGGAACAAGAAUGAACCUGAGGCUGUCUCUGAAGAACUUGUGUUUGAUCAGACUAAGCCAGAACAAAAUGAUCCAGAUAUGGACCUUGAUGAUGUACCAAUUAGAGGUACCCGAUCUUUGGCUGAAAUCUAUGAUAGGGCACAUGUAGCCUUAGUAGAUCCAACCUGUUUUGAAGAGGCUGCAAUGCAUGAAGGAUGGAAACAGGUAAUGGCAAAUGAAAUUGCCAUGAUCGAAGAGAACCAAACUUGGGAGCUGGUUGAAAAGCCUGCUAACAAGAAGAUUAUUGGAGUAAAAUGGGUCUACAAGGCAAAGCAGAAUGCUGAUGGAAGUUUGAAUAAACUGAAGGCUAGGCUGGUGGUACAAGGAUUCAAUCAAAAAUAUGGACUGGAUUACUUUGAAACAUAUGCUCCUGUUGCCAGACUAGAUACGAUCAAGUUGAUUGUUGGGUUUGUAGCUCAAAUGAACUGGAAUAUACAUCAACUUGAUGUAAAAUCAGCUUUUCUAAAUGGAAUCCUUGAAGAGGAGAUUUAUGUCGAGCAACCAGAGGGAUUUAAAGUACCAGGCAAGGAAAACUUGGUUUACAGACUAAGGAAUGCCUUAUAUGGCCUAAAACAAGCCCCAAGAGCAUGGUAUGCUCGAAUUGACUCUUAUAUGCUCAGUUUGAAGUUCGAAAAAAGUGCUAGUGAGCCAACGUUGUAUGUCAAGAAAAAAAAAACUGAAACUCAGCUUGUGGUGUCAUUGUAUGUUGAUAACUUAUUGGUGACAGGAGGAGAUGAAAUUGAUUAGGCAGAUUUUAAGACAAAGAUGAAGCAGAUGUUCGAAAUGACUGACCUGGGGCUGAUGACAUACUUCCUAAGAAUGGAAGUAAGCCAGAAACAAGGAAGAAUCUUCUUGAAUUAGAAAUCAUUUGCCUUGAAAGUGUUGACAAAGUUUUCAAUGCUGAAUUGCAAGCCAACUCCUACACCUAUUGUAGCUGGGUUAAAAUUAUCAAGCCAAAAGGGUCAUGAAGAAGGUUGUGAAACUAUCUAUAGAAGCUUGAUUGGUUGUCUCUUAUACUUGACUGCAACGAGACCAGAUAUCAUGUAUGCAGUAAGUUUACUUUCUAGAUUCAUGCACUGCUGCAAUGUACAACAUUUUCAAGCUGCAAAACGAGUACUGAGAUACAUUAAAGGUACUCUAAGUUAUGGUCUCCUAUUUAGCAAGGCUGAGGAACUGAAAUUGAAAGGGUAUACAGAUAGUGAUUGGGCUGGUUCCAAAGACGAUAUGAAAAGUACAUUGGGGUAUGCCUUCACAUUGGGGUCAGCAAUGGUCUAUUGGAGUUCAAAAAAGCAGUCUUUAGUGGCUCAAUCGACAGCUGAGGUUGAAUAUAUAGCUGCUGCUAGUGCGGUAAAUCAAGCCAUCUGGCUGAGGAAAAUCUUAGCAGAUUUGAACCUAUCUCAAGAAGAAGCAACAGAGAUACUUUGUGACAACAAGUCUGCUGUUGCAAUUGCAAAGAACCCUGUCUUCCAUGGCAGAACUAAGCACUUUGACAUAAAGUUGCAUGUGAUAAGGGAGAUGGAGCAAGCUUGUGAAAUAAAGCUGGUUCAUUGCAAUUCGGAGGAUCAAAUCACUGACAUUUUGACCAACGGUCUUUGUGCAUCAAGAUUUAACAAGCUAAGAAGACUUAUGGGAGUUUGCAGCAUGGAGCUCAAGGAGGAGUGUUGAAGCUGAUCUCCAUGCAGCUGGUAUGAAGCAAGUGCAGCUGGAUGUUGGCCAUGCAAGCUCGUGACAAGCAUGCAGCAACUUUGGUUUCUUGUUGCUGUUGGAUUUGAACUAAUGUUUUGAUAUUUUGUAAUCUAGUUUGUUUCUUCAACUUAGUUGGUAAUAUUUUGAUGUAAUCCAUUGAUUGAUUGACUGAAAUUUCAGCAAUACAACUUGGACAAUUAACUUAGCUAUUUUCAAUGUAAUAGAGUGGGGUCAGGUAUGUGAUUUGGUAGUCAUUUUGACUUGUCCACUUCAUGUUUUGUUUUCAUAUGUAAUGGCAAUAUGCUGAUGAUGGUUUAUGAAAUACAUAUCAUUUUUCAUCAAGUUUCUCAACCAAUUCCAUUGCUUCUUCUUCCAUUUUCUUUCUUCUUCUUUUCUUUUUGCUCGAAUUCCUCUUGCUUGGUUAGCAAGAAUCGUGACUUGCUGCUAAAGCUAUAGCUGGACCAGUUGCUUGCACGCUCAUUGACACCAACAGAAUUGUCUUAAAAAAAAAGAUUGCAAACAUUGCAGUUUGUCUUUACCAUGUCAGAGAUGUUAAAUUAUAAGUGAGACAAUCCAAGCAAAGAAUAUAGUAAGUGAAUUGGAACAGUUAAACUUCAAGUGUGUCUUCUUUUGUAUAGAAUAGAAAUCAUGAGCCACUUCAUUAAAACUAGCCAAAUAAGAAAGAUACAUAAAAAGUUUUUAUUGAGAGCAUGACAAACCACUAAAUCAAGUACGACAUUGACAAAGAAAAGGUGAAUGAGUGAGCAUGGCUUGGCUAAAUGGUUCCUUAACGAAAUCGUUUAGGCAGAACAUUGUCGAGCACAAAAUAGUAGCAGGACAUGGUGGCCGCUUCUACAUGAUAGAACCAUGCUUGUCUCCAGUAAGGAUUAAUGUACAACACAAUGGAAAUACACAGUGGCAUCACAAUGUACGACCCAACAAAACUUGCGUAAAACACUUUCAUGUCAAUGAAACCCUCGUCAGUUGCAUUUUUCGGCACCGAUGAAGAUGAUCCAUUUGUUGAGCAAUUCUUUGGCACUGGUUCACCACAAAGGAAAGGAUUCCCCACGUAACUGCUUUCUUCAAAUGUUACAAAUUGUCCGGUCCUUUAAGGUGUAGUUUCAGAUAAAUUAUUGUAUGUCACACUGAAAAAGGACAAAAAAUUUAACCCCAGAAGUUGGGAAGGGAUAUUCCCGCUCAAGUGGUUGUGAGAAAGAUCCAGACUCUCAAUUUGGGAUAAGUCGGCAAGUGCUGGAGGGAUUGGUCCUAUCAAAUUGUUGUGAGAAAAAUUCAAAACGAUGAUGUCUUGAAAGUGUUGGAAUAGGUGGGGAAUCUCACCAGUUAACUUGUUGCAAGAGAGAUCAAUUCCAGAUAGGUAAGUGAGGACUGUUGCCUUAUAAAAGUAGGAUAUGCUUUUCAUGGUGAACUUUACCGGCACAUCAACAGAGGUAUAUCCAAUGAAAUCGAGGUACUCACUGUUGUUAUAUUUAGCACGGGAGCUAUCAUUCGAUAUUGUAAUCAUCAAGCAAGGAGGAAUUGUACCAGAAAGGUUGUUGCUAGAAACAUCAAUCAACCUUAACCAAUGUAACUCGCAUAAUUGAACCGAAAUCCCACCUUCAAAGUAGUUGUUAUUUAGGAGAAGAUAACUCAACAUAGAAAGGCUGCCAAUCCAAUUUGGAAUAUUUCCAAUUAAGUGGUUGUUGCUAAGAUCCAGUGUCACCAAAGCACUGCUGUUAAAAAAACUAGUGAUCGGCCCUUUUAGCUUGUUUCUUGAUAAAUAAACAUGAGUGAGGCUUAAUGAGCUGAAGCAAGAUGGCAAACUUCCCGAUAUGUUGUUGGCCGAUAGGUCCAAAAUUUUAAGAAAAUAUUUGAGUUUGCAAAAUUCCACGGGAAUUGGACCUUCAAAAUGAUUAUUUCCCAUCACAAGUUCUUCCAAAUUUGACAUCUUUCCCAUCCACCUGGGUGUCCCACCGAAAAGUGUGUUAUUGCUUAAAUCCAAUGUUAACAUAAGUGUCAGAUUCUCCAUGGAGCUUGGAAUAUCACCAAAAAGUUGGUUAUUGCUAACAUCGAAUAAUACCAACCCCAUGGGCAAGUGCCUCGGUAUUCCACUACUCGAUUUAUUGUUGGACAAGUCCAAUAAUUGAAGGAAAAUCAUACCACCAAUCGAAAUCGCAAUACCACCGCCAAAAAAAUUAUUCGACAUGUUGAGAAGCUUUAAUGAUGGUAGUUUUGCUCCGAUUUCAUUUGGGAUGUUGCCAUCGAGGGAAUUAUUGGAAACAUCCAAAUAUAAUAAACCCCUAUGAGAAGUCGGUGGUAGCUGAAAAUGUCCCGAUAGAGAGCUAUAUAUUGGCAAGAUGUAGUUCCCUUAAUUUCUUGUUGUUUUCCAACAACCAGUUUGGGAACUGAUAUCCCUUGAAAUUGAUGUUAGAGAGAUCAACAUGUUCCAAGUCAUGUUGAUGAUUGAGAGAUUGAGGAAAUGAUCCACCAUCUCCGCAACAAGAUAAAGUGAUAGAUCUCAAUUGGAAUGUUGGGGUGUCUAAAGAAUGCAUCUCAGUUUCAGCAUUAUAUAUCAUGUUGUUGUCUGCAUAUAAUUUUUGGAGUUUUGAAAGGUUGAACAACGGAGCCAAUGAACUUGGGAUCUCAAUCUUAUUCUUCGAAAGCCUUAACUCUCGGAGGGAUGUUAGACUCAUAAAAAAAGAUAUAUAUCCAGAAAAUUUAUUGGAAGAGAGAUCUAAAUACUCGAGCAAUGUUAAAUUUUUAAGCAUAGAUAUAUCUCCAAAGAAAUUGUUAAAAGAGAUAUCUAAAUACUCGAAUAAAGUUAGAUUCUUAAAUACAGAUAUAUUUCCAGAAAAAUGAUUUUUAGAGAUAUCUAAAUACUUGAGGGAUGUGAGUUCAGAGAAGCACUCAGGCAAACUAACAUUCCAAUCACUGUUGAUGAUGGCCAGCGUUUGUUGCUUCCUCAAUUCACAAAAACCUGCAAACGUAACACUAUUCUAACAUUAUAAAGUGUAAAAGUAUUAUAUUAGUCUUUAUAUUAUAUUCUAGAUUAUAUUUUGGUAUUUUUAUUAAAAAAUAGAUAAAUUAAUCUCGUAUGUUAAGUGAGUGAGUAAAAUAGUCUUUUAUUAAAAUUGUGAUGUUAAAUGCUUAUUUUGGUGUUCUAUAUAUAAGGCAUACUAACAAAUUUAACCUUCAACUUUUAAUGUUUUAUUCAAUUUAACCUCUAGUCUUUUAUAUGAGUAAAUUGACCUUCAAACAUUCCAGUGUUAAUGUGGCAUAAUUUUAUAUUACAUACUACAUCAACAAAUAAUUUAAAAAAAUAUAAAUAAAAAGUUAUAAUUUCUAAAUAAUAAUGAAAAAAGUUCUUCAAAAUCAAUAAAAUAUAAAUUAUUAAACCUAUAUAUAUAUAUAAAAGUUAUAGUAUAAUGAUAGAAGCAUCUAAUUGUAACAACACUUUAAUUUUCAGAUUAAACUAGAAUGUCUAAAAGUUUAAUGAUUAAUUUAAAUUUUAAGUAAAAUAUUUUUUUAUGCUUUUCAUACUCUUUUGGAAAACUUAAAAAUUUUAAUUUUUUUUAAAAAAUUAAAAAUGUCAUUAGAUAAAUAAAUAAAGACCAAUAUCAAAGAUUGAAACAAAACACUGAAGGGUGAUGGAGAUUUUUGAGGUACUUUUUAAUUUCCAAUUUUUUUUUAAAUGCUCAUUUUAAAUUGGCAAUGGACCCGAAAUAUCUUAUUCUUAACCAAAAAAAUACCGAAAAUGUAAUUUUUAAAGGAUUAAAUCAAAAUUUUAUCAUUUUAGGGGAUCAAAGUGUAAUUUUACCUUUACUAAUUUAAAAUUUAAAAAUUUUAAAUGGCUAAAAUAAAAAAUUUUACAUUUUAGGGAAGCGGAGCCAACUAGCCCCCCCGAUUCUCCUCUGCAUACAUGUAAACUUUAUAGCUAAUCUUUAAUUAUCACAUUACUCUUAUAUAUUGAUUUUUCAAAAUACUUGUAGUAGAAUAAUUAUUUUUUGCUCUUUUUUUAAUACUUUAAAUUCUUUUGUAUUUCUAAAAGAUUUAAUUUUUUAUUGGAUAUUGUUUGGAAAACUUCUAUAAUAUUCUAGAUUUUUAUUGAAUGUUUGAAAAACUUUUAUACAUUUAGAAUUAUUUAUGUUUAUUUUUUAUUUCUUUUUAAUUUUGAAGAGAUUCAAUUCAUAAUUUUUGGAAUUAUAUUUUUUAUUUAUACUUUAUUGAACCUUUUUUAUAAUUUUAAAUUUAUAUGUUGAUGUGAUAUAUAUAACAAAUUAAUGACACAUCAAUAAUGAAAGGUUUGAAGUUCAAUUUAUUCUAAAUAAACGAGUAGGGGUCAAAUUGAAAAAUAUGAAAAGAUUAAUGGCUAAAUUUAUUAUUAUGCUUUAUAAAUAAAACAUCAAAAUAAGAAUUUAAUAGUACAAUUUUAAUGGAAUGGACUAUUUUGUUGCUUCAUCUAAUGUACAAUGAUCGAUUUACUCAUUAUCUAAUAGAGAGACCAAAAUGUAAUCUAAAAUAUGAUACAAUGAAUUGUUAUGCCGCUUUUACACAUUAUAAAGGUUAUGUAAUAGAAACCUAGUGUUAUUUAAAGCAUAUGUACUGCUUAAUUGAAUGGCAUAUAUUUAGUUAAUCCAUUAAUUGAUGAAAAAUUAUAAUGUAAUGAGGAUGACAAUGACAUGGACGUUUCGUCUAUGGGAAAAUUAAAUGCGAUCAAAACUUAUUACUCAAUGUGUGAUGAUAUUUUAAGUUUUGUGAUUUUAGGUUAUUGUGUUUUAUUAUGUUGGUGUUAUAAGUGUAAUUUCUUUGAGUUGUUGGUUUUAUUUUAAUUUUUAGACGUUGAAAUCAAGGUUUUUAGUGAUGGAGUAUUUCAUGUACGGCUUUCGGGGUAUUCUACUUCUUUAUCAAUAAAUUUAUUUUUGACUAAAAUAAAAAAAAAAACUAAAAAGGAAAAAGAUGUAAUAAAUGUACCAUAUAAGUUAAGGUUAGCACCAACAUCACAACCAUCAAUGACCAAGUCCUCAAGAGAAGUGAGGGUUCCAAUAUCUCGAAUAAUGUUGGUAGUGCUGGAUAAAUCCGUUAAGGUCAAUUCUUUCAAAUUUGUUAAAUUUUGCCAUCCUAUAAAAACAAACUUACAAAUAUGAGUAUGUUAUGAAAUACAUAAACACAAAUUCAAAUAUUUCAGGUAAGUUGUACAAAUAUUCUAAUACAUAUAUUUUUAUGUAAUCUGGAAAAUAACUUACUUUGGAUUAUUGUCCCCUUUAAGCUAAAGCUUUCUAAGGAAAGAGUUUUCAAUGACGGAAAUAGUCCAACGAUUAAAGUUAAAGAUUAACUACUAUAGAAGAUUUUUUGACGGAGAGAAGAAAUAAAGUAUAUAGCAUUAAUAAACCUUUUUUUAAAGAGUAUUAAGACAAAAUUAACAAAUUAAUUAUUGAAACACAAUUUUGUUCUAGUAAUACGUACCAUUUUCAUUACCAUACUCUAAAUGUAGUUUCUCCAAGUUUUUCAAAGCAGGUAACCCUGAGAACAAUAUUCAUAGAUAAAUUUUUUUUAAAAGAAAAGCAAUGUUGUACUGGGAACAGGAGGAGAGGGAGCAAAUCGAUUUUACCUAUUGAUCCCUCCAUCGCGUCUACAUCAAAUAUAUGUGUUAAAGACAAAGACUUGAGAUUUAAAAGGCUACCCAGCGAUGACAACAUGUAACUGUUGAAGACAUUCCCCCACAAAUUAAGCUCUUCUAGACUCAUCAACUUUAGUUCCCUUUUAUUAUCUAUACAAACACCAUAUAAAAUGUUACAAGACGUUUCUUGUCCUGUUCUCACUUAUGUGAUUUGAACCUAAUUUGCAAAAGGCUAAUGAAAUAAUAAUCUGCUUAGUAUUUUCUCAUAAAUUGUCAUUAAAGAUAACUAAAAUAUCUCUUUUUCAUAUAUUAUAAAUUUUUCCAAAAAAAAGAAACAUGUUAAAUUACCUUGAGAUGGGACAGAGUCAUUCAUUCCAUCAUAGCUUAUGUUCAGUAUCUUUAAAUGACUCAAAACAUUUAAAUCUGUAGAGAAAAUAACAAACAAUUAAAACUUGGAAUGAGAAAUUAAUAGAUGUAUAUAUUUUAAAGCAUACUUGCCUAGAAUAUAGCUCCAUUCUGUCAAAUUCUUACUUUCUAUGUUCAAAGAUUUCAAAUGCGGGAGGACAGCGAGAGAUAAAAAUUUGCUGCUGUUGAAAUAAUUACAACUUAAAUCCAGCACCUCAAGUUUGGUCAACCUCGAUUGUCUUUUCUGUAAAAGUGUAAUUGAUAAUUGCAUAAACUGUAUUUUCAUUUUACUACUCAAAUGUUAUAUAUGUUAAAUAUAAUUAUGUCCACUCACGCUUUGGAGGCUCUCGAUUUUAUUAUUGUUUAGAUGUAACUCCUCUAAGUUCUUUAAAUUAUCGAGUUCUGUUAAAACACAAUAACAUAUAUCAAUUUUCUUAAUAUAAACAUGAAACUUUACGAGCAACCUUACUUAAGAUAUCGAUGCUUCCUUGUAAUCCACAAUUCUUGAGAAACAAAGAUUUUAGAGAUAUAAACUCGACAAUAUGUGAUAGAAUGUUGUUUCUUAAUAAUAUGUUGUCGCUUAAAUCCAAAAUCUCCAACUUGUUCAGUUUUGAUAACCUCUUAAUGCAUGAUAGUCAUCCAAUAACAUUAUAAAAUUAAAUAUUAAUAUAGUCCUUGCUUAUUCACUUCAACCUCCUUCAUGUAUAACAUAAUAUUAACUUUAUCAUUAGUAGGAUUUGAGACUACGAAUUAAUUGCUUUUAAGAUUUAAAACUUAUAAGAAAAUCCUUUUUAAAUAGAAGUUUGUGAUUAAUAAAUAAAGAUUGCAGAUAAUAAGGUGAAGAUGAAUGAACCUUGAUUGUCAAUGAAACCAGCAAUGUAGUUGCCUCCUAAAUUAAGACUCUUCAAUUCUUCGAAGGGAAGAAACAAAGAGAUGUUGAGAUACCAUCCCUGAUAGAUAUCCUUGUUGUCUUUAUCAUAACUAUCCUCAAGGAAGAGUUGGGUGGCUCGUCCAGUGGAAGUGCUGCACUCAACCCUAUUCCAUCGGCAACAAUUUCCCUUCCCCCAAGAAAUCCCUUCACCGUUAACAAGAGGAAAGAAAGGUUUGAGUUGGAAGAGAGCAGCUUUCUCAAUCUCCCAGCACCCUUCACUCUGAUACCCUCCAAAUAAGAAAGCAACCACAAACACCCACACCAAUUUCCGGUACUCCAUCUCUCUUAAAUCAAUGCUCACUAAGUCUCAGAUAUUGGCAUGCAGCAGCACUACACCUUUGGGGUUUAUAUAAUAGUAAAUCUAAAUGAGUAUGUUUCCUGGAAAUUCAUUGAAUAGGCCCACUGUUCAACCUUUAAAGUCUUUAAAUCAAUGGACUUUCAAUGAAUAAGUUUUUGUUUAUCCUUUACCAUUUUCAUGUUCUACGCUUUAGUGUUUGUAGAAUUAAAUUUACUUAACCUUUCUUUGUACUUUCCUGCAAAUCUUUCUUUGUGGAAAAUUACAGUCAAAUUUCUUAUUACUUUCCUGCAAUUUUUCUUCGUGGGAAAGUAUCCAAACUCAGGCCGUGAAAAACACACUCACCUCAAUUACACACCAACUUUGACCCCAAAGCUAAAUUAAUAGUAAAUAUAUAUAUUUAAAGUUUAUUAUUUUAUUCAAAAAUUCUAUAUACUUUUGUUAUGUUUAAACAAAUUCUUAAAUUAUAACAUAAAUUUAAUAUUUCCCCUAAAAAAAUUAAUUACAAAUAAAAAUAAAAGAAAAACAUUUAAAUAGUUUAGAUAUUAUUUUAAUGUUUUAACCUUAAUAAUUGGUACUAAUGAAUGUUAUUAAGAACGGUUGAUUUCUUGGUUGCAUUAUUGGUGAGAGGUCCUUGAUUAUCUUAAUUUUUUACUCAUGUGAUGUACAGAUCAAUUUUGUAUAUCAGCUAAAAUGUAUUAAAUAUUUUUCUUUUAUUAUAAUUUUCAUGAAUGAAAUGAGAAAAAAAAUACAAAUUGAUUAUUAAAAGAAAAUUGUUAAAACUAAUAAGUGAAACAGCAAUUAAAAUGAAUAAACCUUAAAUUAUACAUUAACUUUGGUUUAAUGUGUAAUUUUUUUACAUGAAAUUUGAUUUUGUGUAAUUUCAUACAUGAAAUAUUAAUUUGAUCCAAUUUUCACAAAUUAUUAAUAGAAUUAUUGAUAUAACAUAAUUUUAUAUUUAUAUAUUGCAUACAUAAAUAAUUUAUAUUUAUCUAAUAUAUAAAAAAAUUCAAUGUAUUUAUUUCUUUAAAUGUGUAUGAUUGAACCAAAACUAAAGUUUCACAUAUACAUUUAAACCACAAUAGAAAUUUCAUGUGUAUAACUGCAAUAAAUCAAAGUUCAUAUAUAAUUGUUCAUUGAACCAAAAUUCAUAUGAAAUUUUAAGAUUUGUCCCUAAUUAAAAUGCAAAACUAUAUAUUCAAGAGUUUUAAGAAUUAUAAAACAUUAUCUGAACAUUAUUUAACAAAUAAUUUAAUUUAAUGAUUUUUGGAAAAAAAAAUUAAGCCAUAAUGUGUAAACUAUUGCCAAGUUUAGGGCCUGAAUUAGAAAAUAAAAAAUUUUUAAGCCUCAAUGUAAGUAAAGUUGCCAAAUUUAGGCUUCAAAAUGUGAUUUAACCUAAUAAAAAACAUGUUGUAAGAGUCAAUUUUACAAAUAAUAACAGUGCGAGGGAUUAAAUUAUAACAAAAAUAAAACUUUGAGAGAUUUAAAAUAAAAUUAUCUUGCCUUUCCAUCUUUCACAGCUCAUAUAAUUAUAAAUACAUCUUUUUUAUAGUCUUCAAAACCCCUUAAUUUCACGUAUUUCACAUCCCAUUCCAUCUUCAAUUCAUUAUAAAUUUUAUCCCAUGUGAUAGCAUUUAAGAUUAAAUAUUUGCACACCCAGUCAAAUUUCACCACAUUACUUUGUGAAAGUAUCAUAAAAGCCCCCUGUUUUAGGUGUCAAAUUACAUUUUGCCCCUUCUACUUAAGAUGAAAAAUUAGUUCUUGUAUAUUAGAUCAAAGAGCUAAUGUUAUCAGACAUUCCUAGUUCAGCCCCUAACGCUACAAGACCUUCCCGGUUCAGUCCUUUAGUCGUUAAAAGAAUCGACUAGAGUAUCCAAGUAAUCAUAAAUUAUCACAUGACAUACACUAGCGUCACAAUGUCAUCAUCAACCAGGAAAAAACACUUAAAAAGUCUUAAAUUAUAAAAAUUUAAAAAUAUAUAUAUAAAGGGAACCAACCAGCUUCAGCAUUGAUCUACAAAAAUGUUCAUAUAAAAAUGUUAGAUCAAUAUAGUAAAACUACUACUAAGCUAAUGAAAAUUACAUGCCAAAAUGUAGCCUCUCGCAAAAGCGUUCCACUGCUUCAGCAUUGAACCAGUCAUUUUUCAUCUGCAAUGUAAAAUAGACACAAGUAGUACCUCAUCAUCAUAUUUAUAAUCCCGACUUCAAUAAAUAUACCUUCUUAAAAUGGAAGGAGAAACAUACAAAGUAAGGGUAGUCAUUGAUGUUGAAGUUCUCCGGGGCACUUUUGACGAACAAAUUUAUGAAAUAGAGAACAAAAUUCCCACAUUCUUUGCCAUUCCUUUGUUGUGGCACCUGAAAAGAUAUCAAGGGUCAAAUUGAUUAAAAAAGAAAGGAUGAUCAAGAACAUCAGCAAAGUGUACUGUAAUCACCUUAGGGACCAAAAGAGGAACUUGAUAAAUCAUCCGCUUAUUCUCGGGCCUGCCUUCGGCUUUAUAAAUGUCGAACAUGAACCUGCUAGUGAGAAAUAUGUAUUGAGCAUUAGAGACCGUGCCUCUUUUAGUCUACUAGUAAUGCAAGUUAUGCAAAUGAGUAAAUAUACCUUCGAAUAUCUGCUUCGAGACGCAACGGGUCGGACAUCUGUAAUGAAUCCAACAGCAAUAUACAAGGUGUUCUGGUUUUUGAUUGCAAACUUUCACCAAAAUGACAGAAGAUUAAGAGGCUCCAAUGACCCCUAAAGAAAAUACAGUUUUCAAAUGAUGAAAUCAAAUUUACUGAAAAAUCAAACACCACUGUGAUAUUUGACAAUACUAACCAGCAAACUAUCGGAACGAGAACAUAUUUCGUCGAAAAUAUCUCUUUCCUCUUAACCCAAGAUAGAACCUUUUCUCUAUAAGAUGCUUUCCUAUACCAUGCAAACCAUUGACAAUCUAAGCGCGUAAACAAAUCCCGCUUAUCUGCUGGCAACCUGCUCCACAGGGUCCUGAAAAUCUCCCAAAACCCAUUCAGGAAAACACUCGCACACAUGCACACACACACACACACCAGAACAACAACACAGAAAAUUACAAGAAUACAAUAUAGCUUACUCCAAGUAACACUCAAAUGAUCCAGAGUCUAGCUUGUUUUUUAGUUUAGAAGUUGAUUUCUUUCUCGUAACUCGUCGCUUUGAUCGUGCACGACAUGGAAUAUUAUCUAAAAAACAUGGAGCAGUUAAUUUAAGGCUUCUUAGUCUUUGAGCUUCCUGUUUUGUUAUCUUCUUCCUGGAGGCCCUCAGAUACCCUACAACAUGAAUCCAACAUGAACGGUGUUUUGAAACCGGAUGCCGAUUAUAGUCUGCCAGAACAUAGUGAACUUAGGAUCAAAUUUCUAUUUAUCAGUCAGCUUAGCCUUUGAUGAAUUCAUACUAAAAAUUAAAAAUAAAAAAAAAUAGUGAAAUGCUGGCAAAGGGUAAUUUGAUCUUCUACAUUGCCACGGAAGUAAGAGCUGAAGAAAUCAAAUUACUUCAUUCUCUUUCUUGCAUUUCUUAAGAUCAUAAUAAUAUAUAAACUAUAGAGUAAAAUAAAAACUCAGUAAAAUGCAAAACCAAUUUUAAUAAAAUUGUUUUAUAUAAUACUCAUAUCAUAAAUUUUGUUCCAAAAAAAACAUUCCUACUAUAUUUUAGUCGUUAAUUCUUUAAAUAAUCCAGUUUUAUCCUAAUUCAACUAUAGAAAUUAAAAAAAGAAAAAGCAAAAUAACAGAUUCAGCAAAAUACAUAAGGUCUAAUUAUGAAUUUUAAUAUUUAUAUAUAUAAAAGGUUUAAUUUGCUAGAAUUUGGUCCUAGUACUUUAUGAAAACAUAAAACUUAAUCCAAUUAGAUAACAUUGUUAAACCUUACGAUUAAACAACUUGUAUACAAUGAAUUAACAAAAAAACCAGCAGUUAAGCAAUUUAUAUGCAAGUAAUUAACAAAAAUUAAAAGCUAACUAGAAGGAUAUAUUUGAAUAAUUGCUACAAAUGAAAAGGGGAAAAUGCAGAAUUGCAAUGUAAUUAAAUUAAUAUAAUCAUAUUUUCAUCUAAAAAAAUGCAUAUUUCCCGCAUAAUUUUUCCAAUGUUUAUAUUUAGUUUCAUAAUCACAUUCAUUGUUCAUUUUUCAAAAUUCAAAAGAAAAUACUCCAAUUAAACAGAUCUCUAAUUGAUAAACCUAUAAACAAAAGGAAACAAAAAGUGGGAAAAAAGAAGCAAAAAUUUGAAUACCAGGAUCUGAAGGGGCAAUGUCGAUUGGUAUUAUAGAAUCAUCAACCUGUUUUUUCUUUCCCAUUAACUGAUUUUUCUAUCAAACACAACUGGGGAAAAAAAUUAAAAUCUUCUAACAAAACAAAACGGAAGGAUAUGCAGAAUCUGAAAGAGACGGAAUUGAGCAGACUAGAACACAGUCGCAGAAGACAGUGAUAGAGACCGCAAAUUUUGGGAAUUUGUAUAUAUAUUUUAAUAUUAAGUUUGUAUUAUUUUGAAGUUAUUGCUAAUUACGAAAUAGUGAAGUUGACUUUUACUGAACAUUUGACCGAGUUAAAAUUUUAUACUUACUCGUGAUUAGAGAUGCUCAUGGACCGGAUUCGGAUCGGGUCUAAGCAUGAUAUUAAUAUACUUUAUAUUUAUCUAAGUUCGGCUCAACUUAAAAUAUGAGUUUAAAAUUUUGUCAAAAUCUACCCAUAUUUAUAAAAGAUUAACUCAAACUCAUUUUAGGUUUGUCAUUAUUAUUUUUAAAUUUUUUUAAAAAUGUUAAUAUUAUAUUAUAUUAUAUUUUUAUAAUUUUUUCAUAUAUUCAUCUUAAUAUUAUUUUUAAUAUUAAUAUUAGAGUAGUAUUAUAUAUUCAAAAUAUGUUUCUUUUUUUAAAUGUGUUCUAAAUUAUAUAAUAUUAUUAUAAACUUAAAAAAGGGUUGGAUCAAGCCCGAGCCCGACUCAUAUUUUAAACAAGCUUAAUAUUUUUGUCCAUACCUAUUUUUUGGGCCUAAUAUUUUUACCUAAACCCUCCAAAUUUCGAGGGACCUUUGGGCCUAGGCAAGUAACCCGACUCAUGAACAGGUCUACUUGUGGCUUACUGAAAUAUCACAUUGCCCCAAUUUUUUUUAAUAAUUUCAUUACAAAUUCAGAUUAUAUCUGCUCUUUUUUUAUACAAUAUCUAGAACUAAGUAUAGCUCUUUCCCAACCCAUAAAUAAGAGGAUAAUGCGCUUUAACGCACUCAAAACCACAUCUUCCUACAUUGGCAACAAUGUCAAUGCCAUUCAAGUUAAGACACAAUCGGCCAAUAUGAUUAGUUUUAAAUAAAUAUAUUUGUGUUUAAAUAAAAAAAAUUAUUGGUGGUUUAAUUGUUCUUUUUAUAUAAUGUUUAGAACCUUUAACCCUUAAAUCGGAGGUAAACUCAUGUCUUAUUGCACUAGCAAUGAUGUCGAUAACAAUUGAAUUAAGACCCAGUCAACUUAAUUGUUGAUUUUUAAAAUAAUAUGUUACUUUAUAAAUAAAAUAUAUAUAUAUAUAUACUUAUUUUAUAUGUUUUAUUGAGUUGAUAUCAUGAGUCAAUCAGACAUCAAUUCAAUUAUGAAAUUAUUAAAAUAUUUUUAUGUAAAAAUUAAAUUAUAUUUUUAUGAGUUAUUUUUUGUUUUUUUACUUCGAUAACUAAAACUAAUUUAUUUAAAAAUUAUUGAAGUUAACUUUACAUUAAUGAUCAAGCUUGCAAAUCAAAAUUGAUAUUUUAUCUUCGACCAAUAAUUGUAUUGAUUUCUUAAAUCUUUUAUUUAUGAUUUUCCUUUUUAGUAAUUUUAAUUUUUAAAUUCAAAUCAUUUCUUCUAUUUUUGAUCACUUGUUCUAUUAAAGAAAUAGAAUUAUCAAACAAGUUUUAUCAAUACUAUCACGCUCGUCACUAAAAUUAUACACGAGCUAGAUUACAUUUGAUUCCAAAAAAAUUUUAGCUCAAGCUCAUUUUCGGGUGGGCUUAGCCCAACUCGUUAACUUAUUUCACUAUUCAAAAUCCAAUAAAAUAUUGAAAAGGUAAAUUAAUAUUAUUUAUUUUUAUAAUUAAAUUUAAAUUUUGCAAAUAGUAUACCUAUACUGACGCAUAUAACUGUCAGUAUAGGUAUUAGCAAAAUCAAAUUCUACAAAUGAUACUACCGACAGAUACUACUUUAGCGACACUCAAUAAGUUGGUAUAAGCCUUUGGAACUAUUUCAACGGUCUUGUUUUUGGUUGAUAAAAGGCUAUGGAGAUUACAUUUACCAACUAUUGUUCUUCUAUCGAAAUACUCAUUUUGAUCGUUAGUAUAGGGUUUUUAGACACAUGACAAAAAUUUUGUUCUAGCGACGAUUUUUGAACCAUCAAUAUAUAAUAGUUUAUUUCUUUUAAUGGACAGUUUACAUCAUUAACUUGAGUAGUUUCGAGCAAGUUUUUAACAACGUUCUCCACAAUGAACAUUUAUCGCAAAUUGUCAAAGAAUGUUAUACAAUAAUUAUUGUAGGUAGGCAUAAAUGAUAAAUUAUAAAUUUAUUGUUGUUGAACUAUCACAAUUUUAAUAGUUAAAAUAGAGUGAUGAAGAUUAAGGCGCAUAGCAGAUCACUCUCUUGAAACAAUAUGUAUAAUGAGAGAAAAUGCGAGUAUAUAAUCCCAUUUUAUUUUAAAACUUUCUUUAAAAUUUAUUUGAAUUUUUAUUAUUAUCCUAAUAAUGAGUCAAUUGUAUUAAUUCAAUGAAAAAAUAAUUCAUUUUUUUAUAAAAUAAUAAAUAUUACUAUUUUUUUUUGUUUUUUUUUAAAUAUUUUCAUGCAUUCUAAUAAAUUUAAACUUGGAAUAAAUCUAAAAAUAUAGGUACAUAAUGAUUCCCAACAUUUCAAUUUUAUAAUUUUAACAAAAAUCUUAUUUAUUUUUUACAUAAAAUUUUUAUAUCUGUGGAUUAGAGUGAGUGCAUGACAAUUUAAUAUCUAUACUAUAUAUUAUAUAAAAAAAUUUAUUAAAUCGGUGUGAUAAAUAAUCGAGUCUCAAGUUAGUUAUGAAUAACCAAAAGAUCAUUAUUUUAACAAAGCAAUAAAUAUUAAUUUAAGGAUAUUUUUUUAUCUUUUUAUAUAAAAUCCCAAAUUUAAUUUUUGUGUCACUUUUAAAUAAAUUAGGUUUUAAUGUCACAUGUCUUGAAAGCGAUUUUAUGUGUUUAAUAUUUAACUAAAUUUAUAAUUAUUGUAUUUUUAGUUACAGUAAUCGUCGUGAAAUAAUUAUUAUUAUUUGAAUUAUUAAAAAUAAUUAAAAUAAAUUAUCUCAUCAAUUCAAAUAUUAUAAUAGAAAAUUUUUAAUUCAUAAUUUUACUUUAUAUAAUUAAUACAAAGUAACAUUAUUCAAAAUAAUAAUUAAUUAACAUAAUUAAUGCUUAUAUUAAUUAAGUGAUAAUUAACAUCAUUAAAAUUUCGUUCAAGUAAUAACUCUAUUUUACAUCAAUAAAAUCAGCACAACUUCUUUUUCACAUAAAAUUUUAAUUAAGAUUUGUAAUUUAAAUUAUAAUUACCAUAAAAUUUUACUUAGAGUUAUUAAAUUAUAAUUAUUUUUAAAUUUGUAAUUAUCACAAUUUCUAUUAAAUUAUAAUUUUUUUAAAUUUAAUUUUAGUAAUAUGAUGAAAAAUAGUUUUUAAUUAAAAAUUAUAAUUAUAAUUAUAAUAAAUUUUUUAUUAUAUUUGAUGCUUAGAGUUUCAUUUAACUAAUAACUCUAUUAUAAAAUUAGACUAACAUUUUUUAGUAGUAAUUAUAAAUUAAAUUAUAAAUAUUUUUAAAUAUGUAAUUAUCACAAUUUCCAAAGGCACCUCUAAAAUGAAUUUUUUUUCAUUUUGGCCAUUAAAAAUUUUUAAAAUUUUAAAUUUUAAAUUAAUAAAGGUAAAAUUACACUUUAACCUUUUGAAAAUGAUAAAAUUUUGAUUUAAUCUUUUAAAAAUUGUACUUUUACUAUGGUAUAAGUUACAAUUUAAUUUCGACCACUCCUAAUAACUUCAGUUAAAGUAAUUUUUAUUUAACUUUUAACUUUUUUUAAAAAAAAUUUAGAUGUAAUUUUAGUAAUAUAAUAGAAAAUAAAACAUAUUCUUCAGUUUUUCAAAACAAUGCUUUUAUAUGAUAUUAUAGAUAGAUUAUAGAUUAUAGAGAGAAUAUAAAUAUAUUACCUAUGUAUCUAUCUACCAUAAAUGUAGUGUAUAAAAAACCGAUAUAGAACAGUGGGUAGUGGAGAAAUCUUAUUUGCCACUCGGCAAUGACAAAGAGGAGAGACAGAUAACACUACACAUCAGCUUAACAAAUGCACAAAAGAACCUUGAAAAUUAAGGAGGAAAAACGAGGAAAAUAACAGUAUCAGUCUCUCUCUCUCUCGCUAUUCAGUUUGGCUUUGACUGUAUCUCUCUCUUCCUUCAGUUUUCUUCUGCCUCUCUCUUUCAUUCGAGAGCCUAAAACCCUCUCUCUCCUUCCUCAGUCCUCUGUAAGGUAUAAUUCACCUUUGGUAACUUCAAAUUAUGUUAUUUGGGUCCAUGUUUGAUCAAAAAUCCUUUUUGAUCCAUUGUUUUGGUUUUUGUUUACGGUCUCUAAUCUGGGUUGUUUCCAGUUUUGGUUUUUAGUCUGGUUUGGAGGGUUAGAAUCGAACAAGGUCGUGUCCUUUUGUUUUAGCUUUUGGAAUUUUAUAAAACCCUAAGCUUGAUUAUGGAAUGAAUGAUCAAAUUGGGAUAAUGUGGAAAUGGGAAAUUUGAUGUGAUUUGAUUUAACUUUUUGGUUGCACGUAUGUAAGCUUAGGGAUAAUAUUUUGGAACUGGCUCUUUGAUGGGAUAAACUCUGUUAUUCAAGGUUUUAGUCACCUUUCUCUUAUUAAGAUGAAUUAAUUUUUGUUGCCAUCUGGUUGUGUGAACACAAGAUUUUUAAUCUAUGUUACUCAAACUCAGUGUGAGUGUAUGUAUUAGACAUGGCUAUGGUUAGAUUUUUCAAAGCUUUUUAAUAUAUUUGGAUGAUUGUUGGAGGUGAUAUCUUCAUAUCCAUGUGUAGGAUACGAGUGUUAGAUAUAGGUACUUCAAGAAGAAUGAAGAACCUGAGCCAGCAUAGCUUUUAACAAUACAUUGGUCUAUGUUUUGUAUCAAUGCUCUUUCAGGUUAAAAGGGGGGCUUUAGUUCUUUUAUCUGCAAAUGGAUUUUGGUUAUAUGAGCUACAAAUAGCUUGGACGUGUGUCUCUGUGUGUGUUUAUAAAUCUUGUUUGAACUUAUUACUUUCAAGGUCUUUAUAAUUACUGUUGGAUGUGCUUUUAAAUUUUUAGGAUAGGAACAUUAUAGUGGGAUGUGAACGUGUUUGUUAGUGUUUGGCGAGACAGAGAGUAUUUCUAACUGUUCAUGGUUGUUUUCUGUAAGGAGUUCAAAAUUCUUUUCAUGUUUGCAUGCUAUUGUUAAUGUGAACUGCUUUAUAUGACGUCAAAUCAAUCUCAAGAUACUGAAUCUUAGACACUUGUAAAGAGUUGAGAGAGAUUAGAGCUGGAACUGAUCGUAACGGAUAUUGGCAACUAUACCCAAGCAUUCCACUUGGUCAGUAUUUCUGUAAUAAGUUUGUUUGUUUCUGGUUUUAGUACUAACGACAACGGCUAUGAAGUUUCGUGUUUUCCUUCUUAUAGGUGGUUUAGUUUUCAAUUUCUUUUGGCUGCUUUAUUUUAACGUAUUUAUGGUAGAUCGGUAUGUAUUAUGCAGGGUUUCCUGUCUUACUAAAUAUAACCUUUCCUCAUUCUAGCUGUCAACUUGAUUAAUCUUCGGUUCUCGGUCCACUUAAGUUCCUUUGGUAUGAUCUGAUUAAGACUGCUCUUUAGAAACAUUUGCAGAUUCUCUCUCGCAAUUUCUUUUAUAUUUUAAUUGGUGCUUUUUUAUAAGGUGAUUGGCACAAGAAAAGCUCUCCUUAUUAAAGUUAUGUUUAUUUUUUUAGACUUUUUCCAUUAGUUGUACCUUUACUAGUGAGAGGAUAAUAUACUUCUCUAUGUUAAGUGUGUGACAACAGACAUGAGAUUAUGAGGAAAUAAUGCGUAUUGGCCAAUAAAAAAGAAAUAAAAUUUUGAUUGCUUAGUAGAUAAACUGGUUCAAUCUUUUAGAGUUUAUUGCUAUAAGCAUAUAUAAAACCUUAUUUCAUAUAUAUACACAGAUGCAUAUGAAAACAUAUACAUAUUGCGCCUUCACUCAGGUGAGUGCUCAUUUUGCCUAUAGUGUGCCUUGUGCCUAGGGCAAUAUUGAGCUUUAGAUGUUUUCUCAUUUUCGAAUGAUGCAUUAUUCAUCUCUUAAAGUUAUUGCUUGCUCUUUAUGGUAAUGGGAACCCAAAGAAUCAUAAAAUUAAUUAUAUUGCCUUUUUUAUGCACCUGGGCAGAUUGCAUUGUAUCUAAGUUUGCAUUCCAUGACAAAUAACAUCAAAGUUUUCAUAACAGUAGCCCUCUUGUUUGUACAUUUCAUGUGUAAGAGCUGUUAGUUUGGUUAAUGAGUAGAAAAUAAAAAGAUUGCUUACAUGUUCUUAAUAGUGUUUAUAUUAGAUUGCUAAUUUGUUUGUACAAAAUGGAACUUUUAUUGAAGAAUCUAUUAUGUUCCAUUAAAAUGUCUCUCUAACGAGGGAGCGGAUACCGUUCCUCGAUGCUCCUUCCUUUAUUACAAUCCUAACAAACCUUAACGUUCGUGCACUGAAAACCCUUUGUCUUUUGGAGGUGAGGAGGAGAUGUAGAAGAAAUAAAAAAGAGAUGGAAAUUUUCGUUGAUGUCUACAUUCUUCAGUUUUGAUGAUUCCUUAAUUAUGCUUUUUUUUUUCUAAUGGCGAAGAGAAUUCAAAAUUUUGGUGCUUUCGUUUAGUGAAGCAGGGUUGGCUAUCUGUUUUGUUUAUGUUAUUUCUAGUGAAUACGUGCAUGGUAAUGAUGAAACUUAGUCUUACAAAAAUAGAAUAAUUACUUUUGCUUAUUAUAAAAAGUUUCAUAGUGUUUUUGUAUUACAGGUAUCUGUCAGGAUAGGGGAAAAUGGGCGGGACUGGUGAUGAUAAAAUUCCAAUACAUACUGAAACUGAAGGUUCCGAGACUACAAUAGAAAUAAAAAUAAAAACAUUGGCCGAGACUUAUACUAUGAGAGUGGAUAAACAGGUAAAUUACUGUCACUGUUGUUAUUAUCCAACUCAAGUUCUGAUGGGGUGUUUAUAUUAUUUGUGCCAUGGUUCGGUUCACCAUUUACAUUUGGUUAAUGCUUAUACUACUGUAUUUGUUCUUGAUUUCGUGCGAUGAAUUGUCUAAUACUCUUGCUUCACUGUGUUGUUUCUUUUCUCUGAAUAUAUAACAGAUGCCAGUGCCUGCACUAAAAGAACAGAUUGCUUCUGUAACUGGGGUGUUAUCAGAGCAACAGCGAUUAAUCUGUCGGGGAAAAGUUCUAAAAGAUGACCAACUACUUUCUGCGUACCGUAUCCUUUUUUUCUUAAUAUUUAUAUUUAUUUGUGAACUAUUAGAUUUUAUUGAUUUUGUUAGGUAAGAAGUUGUUCCAUUCUAUCAUUAUCUAUUCACAUUUAGAAUUUGAGCUGAGUUUCUUAAUUGGAGGUAGAUGUCGAGGAUGGUCACACAUUGCACAUGGUGGUCAGGCAGCCAGUUCCACCAUCUGACGGCGCACCUAAUCAUUCAGGUUUUGCUAACUUGAGGAUCUAGUAUUAUCAUUUUUUAUUUGUUCCUUUUUGGUACAAAUAUUGCAUGAGCUCAAGGCUUUUACGCCCCCAAAAAAUGCAUGAGCUUUAUCCAGUUUUAUUUAAAGCAAAGGCCUUUUUGUCCUUUGCUAGCUAUUUUUAUCGACAUGUAUGAAGUAUUCAGCCAAAAGGCAAUGCCUUACCAUCUCUCCAAAUAUUGCUUCUCUAAGGGUACUGAUACUUACGAAUGAUAAUAUUGAAAGUUAUGACAAAUAUCAAACAAGUAGAAUCAUAAUAAUAUUAUCACUUUCUUUGCUGCUUUUUGAAACCUGAAGGCACGGAGAUGCUAUAUCAUCCUCUUGUUUGCACUUAAAAACAAAGAAUUCUACGCCACACUUUUUGUUCUUAUAUAUAUACAUGGUAGAGCAUUAAAUAAUGAAUAAUUUGCAAUACUAUAUUCGACAAUUAACAGCUUUUGGCCAUUUGAAUAAGAUUUUUUUCAAUAAUAUUAACCACAAAGUCCAUUUGUAAAUCAAAUAUCGUGGGACAAUGCGUCAUUACAUUUGCAACAAGAAUGUGUUCAACAAAGAAUUUCUUUCAUUAGCAUUUUUGUCUUGUAUGCCUCUAUCCUUUUCUCCAGCAUAAACUGUGAUCAGUUCGUAAUAUGUACACCUUUUGUUAAUAUAUGUUUUUAAUAUUAAUUUAUUGUGCAUUGCUUAUGUCGCUAAAAUGGGAGGAAAAAGCUAGUUAAGAUUUAGUUAGUAACAUUUAGCACUAUUUGCUGCAGAUGAUCCGGGAUCAGGUACAAGCCGCAGUCAUGGUAAUCAUGUCCCAAGUUUUGUGAUAGAAACUUCUAAUAUGCCUGAACAAGGAGAUGGAGUUCCUCCUGAAAUUGGUCGGGUAAGCUUUUAACUGGAUGUGAAAUGAAGAACAUUUCUAGUAUAGAGGGAAAGUAUAUAUGGCUUUACAAUGAGUUUUUAGUUUUAAUUUUAUUCUUUCCUUCUAAGCAGAUUGUCUCUGCUGUUCUGGGCAUGUUCGGAUUUGCAAAUAUGGCAAGUGAUGUCCGGGUAAGUCUUAAUAAAACUAGAGAAACUAAUUAAACCCCUCAAAUUGAGGUACAAUCAAAUUAAAUCCUGAAAUAAAAGAAAAAAUGAAACAAGAGAGGUUCUAGGAAAACCUUCUUAAGCUCUUACUUCAAGCAAGGAAACUAAAGAAAUUAAUCCCAAAAGUGUAGGGAAUAACUUUGAAAUUCUACCGUUUAAAAUAUCUUCAGCUGCAUUAGCAUGAAAUAAACAGCUUGAAAAAGUGAUCCACUAACCAAUGAGGCCUUUUCUUGUUGGUUAAGGCAAAGGCCCUGGGUCCUUGAGUACCCAAGUUCGUGUCCCACCAUGUACCAUUGCGAUGUGUGGGUCUUUGUCCCCAUCAUGUGCGAGUUUUGUCCAGUUCUUCAUUUGUUGUGCUUUUGUUUUCAAAGGUCGUUUUAGGGCCAUGGCUUAACGGGAUGAAAGUUGACAAGUGUUCUUUAUCUUUAUGUGUGCCUCAAUUGAUAUGAACUUACUUCUUCGGGGUUUUUGGAUACCAAAGGAACAGGGUUCACAAAGGCAUGAAAGAACAUCUGGUAGUGGCAUACCAGAAUCGUCGCAGGGUCAAACUGAACAAACUAGCAUGAGGAAUCAAUCUGAUAGAGAACACACUGCUUUUGGCCUUCCAGCAGCAGUUUCCUUGGGGCCUAUGCAACCUCCUGUCAGUUUGGAAUUCCUUACAUUCGUAACAAUUUAUUUGUUUCUUUGCAUGUGCCUAGUGGAUUUGUUAUAUGAAAUGUAUUUUAUGGCAAACCUAUUUUUGUAGGUAAUUCCUGAUUCUUUGGCUACUUUGUCUCAAUAUCUUAGCCAUAUGAAGCAUGAAUUUGAUGGCAUUGGUUAGUUUUCCUUGAAAAACUGUAAUUAUAUUAUCUGUCGGUUGCUUGAAAGAAUACUGGUUCAUUAAUGAUUGGCAAUGCAUUUGACUGCCAGCGAGUAGGAGUGGAGAUAGAGAUUCUAUUCCUGCAUCAAAUUCAGGAACUAUACGGGAAGAUCUUCCAACACCUGCAUCUUUGGCCGAAGUGUUACAAUCUACCAGGCAAAUGCUCAUUGAUCAAGCUGGAGAAUGUCUACAAGUCUGUCCACCUUUUUUCACUGUCUUUCCUAAAAUUUACCUGUGUAAACAGUCAGCCUGGAAGGGACUAUUACAGUCAUCACCUUGAGUUCUCAUUUUUUGUUUUGUUUUGCCUAUUGUCAGCAACUUGCAAGGCAACUAGAGGAUCAAAUGAAUGUAACCGACACAUCAGCACGAAUGAUCGCUCAGUCGAAUGCAUGGAGAAUUGGAGUUCUGCUACAUAACCUAGGCUCACUUUUACUUGAGCUUGGUCGUUCAACCAUGACGCUACGCUUAGGUCAAACACCUGUAAGAUAAUUUCAUUCUAAAUUCACAACAUUUAAUUCUUUUUGACACCAUUUGUGCUCUAUUGCUGCUGUAACUUUUUUCUUUUUGCAGUCUGAAGCUGUUGUUAAUGCUGGACCUGCAGUUUUCAUAUCCCCUUCUGGUCCAAACCCUCUCAUGGUUCAGGCAAUGUUUCAACAGCUUAGCCAAACAUUCUUAUUCGAUAUAAAUUAUUUUAAUUUAAGCUGAUUAUCGGUAUCUGUUUAGGCUCUGCCUUUUCAACCAGGAACUAGCUUAGGCACCAUUCCCAUGGGAACUGUACAGCCUGGAUCUGGUUUGGUUAAUGGACUUGGGGCAGCACUUUAUCCUAGACGUAUUGAUAUACAAAUACGAAGAGGUAUGGUAUACCUGGCUAUUUUUGGUAUUUAUGUUUUUUAAUAUAUAUAUAUAGUACUUUCUUGGCCAAAGACUGAAGUGUAUUUACUGUAAAGGUUCAACGACAGCAACACCCAAUAUAAUUCGACAUGAACAUAAUGAUACCACCACACAGCAAUCAGACCAAAGGAACCCGUCAGUGGGUUCUGGUAAUGAGAACCAUAGCACUCAAACAACUUCAAGGGUUUCAGAUGCUCCAUCUUUUGCGGGAGAAUCAGGAGUUAGGGUAGUGCCUAUUAGGACUAUGGUUGCGGCUGUACCUGCUCCUUUGGGUCAUGUACCUUCAGAUUCUUCCGGUAAUACCAUGGGAUUUUAUUACCCAUUGGUUGGAAGGUUCCAGCACAUCACUCCUGGACAUUUGAAUGGUGAACGGGGAUCUCAACCAUCUGGUGAACAUCUGUCAACUGGUGGUCAAUCUGAGCAGCCCCCUGUUCCUGAAUCUGCAGCGCAACACCAAAGUUUGGACGAGUCUACAAGAGAUGGUAAUAUGUGAAUCCUGCACUUAAACAUACUAAAGAUACUGGAGGGUGACUGAUUAUUGAAUGGAGCUGACUAUUAAAUGCUUCUUGUUGUUGUAGGUUCAUUACCAAAUGCUAAUUCAAGACAACAGGAUCGAUCAAAUACACACAGUGUCAAUAUCAGCGAUUCAUCAGUUGGAAGGACUCAAAACAACCAAGACUCCGAGAGGCAAAUCCCCAGCAACAUUCUUCAGUUUCUAAGGGCAUUUUUCCCAAGUGGUGAAUUCCGUGUAGAAGAAUCCAGUUUACAAGGAACAGCUGCUGGUUCUGUACCGGUGCAAGCAGGAACAUCCAGAAGUGGUCCAGCAGCUGAGCCAAGUAUUACUGAUGAAGGGUUGUUUUUAUCUAAUUUGCUUCAUCAGAUCAUGCCAUACAUAUCUCAGCAUGCAGGAUCACAACAAAGUACUGUGCCUACUACAGGAGGAAAUACUUCUUCCCAGGUAAUUGGGAUCAAAUAUAGAUGAAGGGAAAGUGUAGUAAUUGGGAUAAAUUUUAAUGUUAAGAUCAAUGGAUAACGAUGCUAAACACUGCUUUGUUUGCAGGUUGAGAACUCUAGGACUAGACCUAGCGACUCUGAACCAAACCCAUUGAACUCAAAACGUCAGAAGGUACUGGUUCUGAAUCUAUUUCUUCUUUUGGCGUUUAUCAUAUUCCAUAUUAACUCUUUCCUAUGUCUCACUUAAAUGUUUGACAAAACCUUUUAGAUU
rnacentral:lncRNA from 1 species